GAAGGAGGAGCGGCCGACAAAGGUAGAGAUAACAUCGAACAUGGCGUUGCCGUCCCGGCGCAUGGUGGUGCUGGCGCUAUGCUUGCUCCUCUUGGUGGAUGUAUCCACCGGAACAGACUCGGGAGUCGACUGCGAUCUCGAACCAAAGGCAUGCUAUGAAGAUUGUCGCAAGAAUGGCCACUGGAUAAUCACAUGCACCAGCUGCUACGUCUUUUGCCCCGACAUAGGUGGCGGCUACCUCGGCGGCCCCGGGAUGGCAAGCGGACGUCUCUCUCUCUCUCUAUCUCUCUCUCUCGCCAGUUUUAUGUGCCACUAAGUCCUCUGUCUCUGUCGCAGUUCUUGCAAACAAAAUGGUGGAUUCUUCGUCCGCUGGAACAACCGUUGAGCAGCCUUAGGAUGGGCAGGAAGAUGUGCACGUUGACGAAGCGACAUGACGGCAAGGCCCUGCGAUGCACUCUACGUUUUGAAUCGAUCCCUCGCUGUCUCUCUAUCUCUAUCUCUUGUUGUUGUCGAUCAGGUAAUCCUUAUAUAAACAACAAGUUGUGUUGCUGUGUCAAUUCUGAAUGAUUUGAUCAUCGAGUGGUAGGCAAAUGCAUUGAAGUUUGCAGGGAGGUCAUAAGGCGCGGGUUGACCUCGUUCCUGCAAGGCUAAUUGGUCGUGCCGCCUGGUCCCACAAGGGACCCCCUAGUUAUGGCCAAUCCCGUCCGCCAUAUCAGUAUCUUACACGGUGUUAUUCUAAUUAAUGAAUAGGUCUCAGCUUUACAAUAUCAUCUUCUACAUUGAAAGUUGACCACUCAAAACCGAGGACUAUUUCUGAAUCCUUUGGUGUGAUGAAACUACAAAGAGAGGAGGUUUCGAGCAAUGGUACAUGCACCGAAAUAAAUCACCUCGCCUAGCCUUUUAGUUGUAUAUGAGUAUCCACGCGAGAAUGUCUACUUUUUUUUUCUCGAUAUUUUCGAAACGGUUGAUUGUGGUUAUUUUAUUAGAUAUAACAGUAAUAUUAAUAUUAUAUGAGAAUUCACUAAUAUUAUUUUAUUAUUCGCUCGUAUAAAAUCAUUUAACGAUUUGAAUAUUUAUAAUUUCUAAAAUGUUAAAAGAGUAUCAACUUAUAUCUUCUUAAUAUUACAAGUAUUUAAAUUCAGAUUCAACUUAUAUCAACUUAUUCGGAUUCAACUUUUAUAAUCUAAUUUUGCAAGUAUUUAAAUUCAUCUGACAAUCUAAGUGUGAAAACAACUCAAGUAACAUCAUAAAAUUUAUCUAACUCACCAUGAACUCUUACCUAGAAAUAUGAUAAAUAGUUUCUUGAUUCUGUAAUGUAAUCGAGUAUAACAUGAUUUAUUUACAAAUAGAACACCAUAAAGUUUAUCUUAAUCACUUCAAACUUUCACCAAUUUAUCAAAUUAUGAUGUAAGUAUUAUUACUAUUAAUCUAUUUUUUAUAUAAUUUUUAAGAAUUUUUAAGUUCAAAUAUGAUGAAAGAUUAAAAAGAGAGACUAGAAAAAGAGGAGAAGACAGUAGUAAAAAGGAUAGAGACAAACAUAAACGAUGAAUAGUAAAAAUGAAUAGUAAAAAAGGAUGAAAGGUUGUAGAUGAGAUCGAUGAUGACGAUGGUAGAGGAAAGGAAGACGCAAGCAAAAAUCUUUCACAUCGAAAGAUUUUUUUUAUAUAAAUCUUAUCUCAUGAUUUGUUUAGUAUUAUGUUACUAAUCUGAUUAGCCUGUUAAAUUAUUUGUAAUAUAUUUAAUAUUACAUUAUAUCUUAUUUGAUUCACAUAAAGAGAAAAUAAAAUUACGAUGUUGAUCACUUUGGUAGAUUCAAAAUAUUUCAUAUCUAAUCUUAUCUCAAAAGAUAAUAACUUACAUAAUUAUAUAGGAAUGAUGAAGUUCAUCGGGAAGUAGGUUCAUCAUGACGCAAAGGUUAAUCUUAUCUCAAAAGAUAAUAACUUACAUUAAAUGCUUCGUAUGAUUUUUCAGUAUUCCCAAUAACAAAAAUUCUAAGUUAAAUUCAAGUAUUCAACAAGGAUUAGAAUAUUAUCCCCGCGUGGCACAAAACUCUCAGAAACAGGAGGAAGAUGUAUACUUGACAAAGCAAAGUUUUAGAUACUUUUUGACGGAUUCAACGCUGCAGUGGUUUGAUCACCGAAGAACCAGCAAAAAGAAUAGACAACUUCUUGCCAAAGAAAACGCAGGUGCGGUUGACGCAAGGAGACGAGUUGAAGGCAGAGCAACCGUGGAUAUGUAUGUUGUAUAUAUAUAGAGAGAGAGAUAGAGAGACAGAGAAGAACAAGAAUAAGAAUAAGAAGAAGGCCGGCGAAGGUAGAGAUAACAUCGAACAUGGCGCUUCCGUCCCGGCGCAUGGUGGUGUUGGCACUGUGCUUGCUUCUCUUGGUGGAUGUAUCCACCGGCACAGACCAGGCAGUCGACUGCAAUCUGCUACCAGAUGCGUGCUAUGACGCUUGUCGCAAGAAUGGCCACUGGAUUAUCACAUGCGCCGGCUGCUACAUCGGUUGCCCCGAAGUUGAAGGGGGCGGCGACCUCGGCGGCUUCGGGUCGGUAAACAAAAUGGCGGAUUCUCCGCCCACCGGAACAACCGUUGAGCAGCCUUAGGAUGGGCAGGAAGAUGUGCACGUUGACGAAGCGACAUGAUGGCGAGGUCCUUCGAUGCACUCUUACUUCUUGAAUCGAUCCCUCGCUGUCUCUCUAUCUCUAUCUCUAUCUCUUGUUGUUGUCGAUCAAGUAAUCCUUAUAUAAACAACAAGUUGUGUUGCUGUGCCAAUUCUGAAUGAUUUGACCAUGGAGCGGUAGGCAAAUGUUGCAUUGAAGUUUGCAGGGAAGUCAAAAGGCGCGGGCUGACCGCGUUCCUGCAAGGGUAAUUGGUCGUGCUGCCUGGUCCCACAAGGGACCCCCUAAUUAUGGCCAAUCGCGUCCGCCAUAUCAGUAUCUUACACGGUGUUAUUCUAAUUAAUGAAUAGGUCUCAGCUUUACAAGACCAUCUUCUACAUUGAAAUUUGACCACUCAAAGCCGAGGACUCUUUCUGAAUCCUUUGGUGUGAUGAAACUACAAAGAAGAGGUUAAACUCCCGAGAGCUUACCAUAUCCAACGCAUGGUUUCAAGCUCUUCAGACCCACUUUUGAAUCCCCGAGUUACAUAAUUAGCAGCAUUAGAGACGUAGUAACACCACAGGGGUCUUUAUCAAGCGUUCCUGUUUUCACAUCUUUGAAUUCGAGUCGUCGAUGGGUUUCAAUAAGAUCCGACACGCUUCUCUCCCCUACGCUUCUGGGUUGCAGUAGCAUGCAUGGCCUCGCAUGCGUGCAGUCGUCUUCGGAUGCGAGACUAGUGCUCUCGUGUAAAUUAUGUGAAGUGCACGAGAGCAUUAAAUGUGCAUGUUUUGAUUCACGUACUAGAGAGCAACUUAUGUUGUCUUUCUGAUCGAUUCUGUGUCAUUUGAUCAUACCAACACACACCAAGAAGAUGACGGUGGUGGAUACAAGAACACGAUCUGAAGACAGCGCAAUCGUGGAGAGAGAGAGAGAGAGAGGUGUGCAUAUAAAAGGAGAGGAAGAGAGAGAAUAGGUGGGGACGGACGAAGAGGAGCGACAAGGAAGCUAGAGGUAGGUCGAACAUGGCGCCCUUGACCCCUUGCUCCUCUUGGUGGGCGCAUCCUCCGGCGCCGUAGUCGACUGCUUUGACGAUUGUACGGGGAAAGGGCACUGGAGAGUGCGAUGCAUCGGCUGCUUCUUCUGCCCUCCAGAUCCGAUUGCCCGGAACGACCCUCCCGUAUGGGAAGGCAAGCCACCACGGCCUCUUCUGUCCCUGUCGUUCUCCUUCUAUAAGUGCUGCCGAGCCAGAGUCCAAUGCUUCCGUAUCGUUCCCCAUGUCGAUGACCACCGACAUGAGGAGUAACCAGUGCGCGUCCUGAACAUGACCGACGAGAGGCACGUUAUGUGCACGACCCUUUCGAAUGCAACACAACACUAAUUUUUGUGCGCAACACCACAUGGUGUGUUCAACUUGUCUCAAACUUUCACCAUCAAGAACAUGAUAGAGACUUAUUCCAUCAAAAUAUACCUUAUCAAGAGGAAUCAAUUACAUUGGGUUGGGUACAUCUAAAUUGCUAGUUGAGUGCAUUGGUUCAAGGGGUUUUGGGUAUUUAAGUAUCUUACAACGGGAGAUGCACUUGUAAAGUGAGUAAUAAUAUGGGGGAUUCUAAGUAAAAUCCUCUAUCUGCUUUCCUACUCAGAUCAUAUAUUUGGAGGAAAUCAAAGUUGUGCAUGAAACAUUUACAAAAAUAAAGGGAAAAUAUAAUUAAAAUGCGACAAUAAUUUAUGAUAAUCAAGUUUUUUUAGGUCCAAUAUUAAAAUAAUUUACAAUAAAUGUUAAAGUCUACAAUAAACGAGUGGAAACAAAAUCGAACGAUAUGUCCCAUCGACUACCAAAAAUUUCACAGCUCGCAGGAGCUGAAGAGGGAAUCGCACGAAACUAUCAUUAAUACAAUGAUAUAUGUUUGUCCAUGACGAUGUAGCAGACGUCGAGAAAGACGAGUUGGGUGAGUUUGACAGAUUCAACGCUACUGGUUGAUUCACGGAGGGCCACAAUCCAUAGAACGGAGACAACUCAAAGAUCGCCAACUUAUUGCCUAAGAAAAGGGCCGUGCGCGGUGGAUCGAUGGACUCAAAUUGAUGACCGGGCAGUCACGAACGUGUAUAUAUAGAGAGAGGAAAAGAGGAGGCGGAAGAAGGUAAAGAGAGAGAGAGAGAGAGAUACAUACAUAGAUCGAUUAUGGCGUCGUCGGGGCGGUGCAUGGUGGUGGUGGCGCUGUGCUUGCUCGUCUUGGUGGAUGUAUCCGUCGCCGCAUCGAGCGCAAUCAACUGCAAUCUUGGAACCGAUGGGUGCUAUGAGGCUUGUCGUGCCAAGGGCCACUGGGAAGUCACAUGUUUCGCCUGCAACUACUUUUGCCCUGCCGUCAGCACGGGCUUCAUCGGCGGCGGCGGAAGUCUCUCUCUCCCUCUCUCUCUAUCUAUCUAUCUCUCUACAGUGUUAUAUGCCCACUAAGUCCUCUGUCUUUGUCGCAGGUCGCUCUGGCACCAGGGCGCCUUCUCCGACGGCGGACAACAAUUGAUCAGCCUCAAAAUGGCCAGAGAGACGUGCACGUUGACGAACAGAGGCCCUGUAUUGCACUCUGCGUUUUCAGUCGAUCCUCCUUCCUUCCCUCUCUCUCUCUCUCGCUCUCGCUCUCGCUCACUCUAUCGUUGUUGAUCACGUAAUGUGCGAGUGUGCACGCCUUUGAUCCUAUGUAAUAAAUAUCAAGAUUUGUUGAUGUUCUUUCUGUGUCAUUUGAUCAUGCAGUGGCAGGCAAAGGUACGUGUUAGAGUUUCCAGGGAAGCACAAGGCAGAGCUGACUCCCUCCCCCCCCCCUUCUUAUAGCCAAUCGUGUCCGCCAUAUCAAUAUCGAUUAAGUAUUUCCUUGCGAGUCUACAGAAAGGUUUAGCAGAGCAAUUUAGACAUCUGAUGAUUAACACAGUAUUAUUAUAAUCACCACUUUUGAAUCCUCAAGUCACUUUAUUUGCACCAAUAAAAACAUAGCACGAUUAGCUUACAAAGGAAAUAGAGAACACGUAUUGGCGUUAUAUGUAGCGAUGUCAAGCAAAAAGAGGGAAGAAAAUAGUCGAAUGUUAUAAACAUCAUUAAAAUACGUGAACAUGCAUAGAUAAACCGAAGACGGAUGUCUCCCGAUUACUGGUGUUGCUAAACUCCUUCACAUCAUGCACCUCCAGUGCAUUGAGUCUUCUGUAUCUUCAUGUUCAGGCUGUCAUGGCUCAUGAUACAUGGCGAGGUCAGCGGCGGCCUCUUCAUCGCGUCACCUUGAGAAUUCAAGGUUGCCUGCACGCAAACAAUAGAUGCUCCAUCGGAUUUCUCAUGGUUUAUUAAAUUCGGAGAAGUACGAGCCGAACUGCUUGGAUUCGGUACGAUUUUAGGGGUGAGCAGUGAAGCUGUCUGAGCUUGAACGCCCGGUGGCGGACCCUUAAAUGGUUGCGGCGGCGGAGGAUUGCGCCAUCGAGGGAGUGACCCUGCCAAGAGAAGGGUCUGCAGCGUAGGACCUGCUUCUAAGACAGCUUGCAACAGCUUCCCUCUCUGCGGGAGAGGUUUAUUCGUGGCAAGGCUAUUGAUUGUAACGGAAGCUCUGUCCGCUGUGCUAUUGUUUGCCGGCGAGCUCCGCUGUUGCACCAUAAGCAUGUUGCAGGUGUUAGCCAUCUUUAUGCUUGACGAUUCUGGGAAGGCAACGAUGCUGUGAGAAUUAUGGGUGGGAAUUCCCGAGAGGCUAUCGGAUUCGGUGAUGUUGGAAGUUGCUCCGGUUUGCCGCAUCUGUGGGCCAUCAGGCUGGAGAGAGCCUGAUAGCAUGGGAGAGAGCUCCCCCGUGUUAGCUUGUGUGAUCUUAUCGAGUAAAAGCUGCAGCUGAUCCCUUGCUGCGUCUCUUUCGUGGGUGACCACUUGAAUUCGUUGGAUUAAUUGAUUGAUAUCUUCCUCUCUCCUUCUUAUCUCCUCCUUAACAUUAGCCCGCAGCGACUCAAGUUCCAAGGUGGCACAGAGAAGCUUGUGCUCGAGUCCCUCGGUGCUCUUUUCGAACAAAACGGAAAGAUUCAGUAAGGAAACAGAGGUGAGAUAGCAGAAAGGAACAGAGGGAUGUGUCGAAGAACAUACAGUUCUUCAACUACAUCACUCGACAACAAGACUCUCAUGAUUGAUUCAAGCACAGAUAUACUGCGAGAUCCAGUGGAAAGGUAGAACUCUAAAUGAUCCCGUGUACAUUUAGAGUUCUACAUCACUCGACAGCGCAUCACGGCACCACGGUCGCUGAUCCGAUCCGGCGACCAUAACAAGGCAACUCCACGAACGCUACUAAACCCCGAUUCAGAAGCAGCAGCGCACACAAGAAAAGCUGAUCCAUAAAGCAUCACCGGACAAAGUAAAAGAGAAGCCACGCCCAUAGAAUACGUUAGAGAGGAACAGCGACUGACCUCAUGAAAACACAAACCAGAAGCCAAGCCUGCAUCCAUGGUGACCUCUGCAAGAGCGCAACGAUCCACACCCGACUCCAUAAAAUCUACACCGGCUCCCUUGAUGCACACACUCUUUAUGUCCUUCUCUAGGCCCGUUAAUGCCUACGUAAAAGCCGGUUUGAUGUAGCAGUAGUUAGCCGGGAAGAGAAAAGAGGAUAUUUUUUUCUUCUUUUUCUUUUGUUGUGUUGUGAUGAGAAAUAAGUUGAAUUCUCUCCCAUGCGGAAGAUUGCCGAAUAACGUCCUCUCUCUAUCUCUCAAGCUCGCGCUCUCCACUUGGAGUAAGCAAGGCCUUGAGAGAGAAACUUGUUCAAUUAUUGAAUACUCUCUCUCUCUAUGUAGCUUCAUGUCGGGCACGUUAAUAGAGUUACUUCAUGAGCUCCUCCUUCCACAUGCCACGAAGACUUCUCAGAAAGAAACAAGGACUUGAAAUCUACCUCGCGCCUCCUUUUGGCAACUUGUGUUACCACGUGUCCUAGACUGAUUUGAUAGUCAACAGCCAACACAUGUUGAUUUGAUUGGCUUAUCAGCGUCAGUACUAUGGGGUUGACUAGUUGUUGAGUCUACGCUAAUCAUAGACCUACCAAUCUAGAUACACAAUCAUAUGUUUUGGUCCACAUACGCUUUUGCUCUUAAGUAGCAUGUAAGUUCAGUACACAUGAAGCUAUUCCUUGGCUUAUCGAACGGGUAAUAUCAACAAGGCCAAGCCUUGCGAGACAACAAAAUCUGGGAGGUCUUGUCCAUUGGAUCCUGCCAUGUUCGAGCUCCUCCUUAAAAAGUCAUCUAUAGCUAUCUAUCUAUCUCAUAUAUAUUUGUUUAUUGGAUUUAGUUGGUAACUAUACAUUUUACUGUCGUGAACGCAUGCAAUCGGUGGGCUUUGCCGGGCAAUCUGGGCUUUUCGUUUUACUGGGACUCCCCCAGUCGAUCCCGGGGAAGUAGUCGACUGUUCGGCGAACCUGAACUGGUGUGGGAAGAGCAUCGUCCCGGAGACAUCAUUGUCUGCGUGCAAGUGGUGGCAUCCCCAGUCGUCAUCUCUGUGGCUCCACGCUGCAGGUCGCUCGUCUCAUCACUCCAUACCGGCCAUGCCUGGUUCAGUGUUGGGAUCUCUUGAGAAUAGAGAGUGACAGGAGGUAUCCAUUCUUUGUUUCAGUCAAGACGCACAAGUGCAUGCUAACAUUAGCAGCUUCAGUUUUCUCGCAAGAAAGAAGCUAAUUAUUCCACCUACUGGACCGAUGUGAUUUCGCAUAAACACGAUGAUAAUGGGAUUCAGCCCGAAAUAAAUGGUUUGGCCCAGCAGACCGUAUUGUCAAGGGUAGAGAGAGAGAGAGAGAGAGAGAGAGAGAGAGACGAGCACUCGGAGCCUUCUCCUCCAUUCGUGCCAAGAGUACUCUUUAUCAGCCGACACCAGUCGACGCUGUAGUGCAGCGACGGCAUCGUGGACUGUUGCUGACCAUCUUCUCUCCCAGUGGUGGUGUAUUAAUGCGACCCCUUUUGACUCCACGGAGCCAACUUCUCUUCCUCCCUUUCUCUUGACAGCAGCAAGUGGACCAAAUGCAGCCACCCUAUCUUUCUACCCGUUCCUUAAAAUAUAAGAUGAGACCAUCCUCGGCUGCGGCGUGCAGCACAAAAUGCGCUGCCACCCUCGCAGGCUUCGACGACCCAUCUGGCACAUAACGAUACUCGUUUUACGCUGAAAGUGCUCAUCCAGCAGCCGAGUUGGUGUUUAGUAUAGACGUCUUUCGGCGACAUGGUUGGUUCCGAGGUACUAAUGGCGGUAUGCUGCACAACCCGUGCGUCGGAGUAUUUAAUGGAGGGAUAGGCAAUGGUCAAACAGAUGGAAUGACGUCCGACUUUAUGGCCGGUGGUUGGGAGAGGAAUUGGAUGGCCAUGGCCGCGGCAGUUCCAUUUGAAAUUGAUGCUUGGCCUUGUGUUCGGGCAGAUGCACGGUAGAGAGGACAUGGUCGCCGGUUACUUUUCAGACGACGAGGGAGCAGCCGAUCCUUUACCACGGGAGCGUUUUAUGACCUCGAGGAAUCACGUCGUACGUCCACUUUCUUGUGCGAAUCUUGAUGCGCCUGAUGACAACCCAACCACAUAUCCAGGGUUACUGUGAGCCCAUGAGGCGUGUUUGGUGGUUUCUUCUUGUCCACGGCACAUCCCCACUUGAAUCCGCCCGCGUCUCUUCUUUCCAAGCCCUUGCCACCGUCCUUUCCCUCCCAUUCCCCUCUCCUCCCUCCCUCCCUCCUCUCUGAGCUCCCCGAACGGCGCAUCGUCCAUGUGCCUAUAAAAAGACCGACUUUUCCCCUUGUUUUGCUUUUGUUCGAGCCACGAAUCCCUUUGGUGUUGCUCUGCAUUAGGGGGGGCUUAAUGGCGGCGGCUUCCUCGCGAGGGAGGAGGGAGCCCCUGCGGCAAUGGAGGGACCGGGAGACGAGUCCCGAGAGGACCAAAGUGUGGAAGGAGCCGAAGCCGAGGAGGGUCCCCGUGGUGUACUACCUCUCCCGGAAUGGCCAGUUGGAGCACCCCCAUUUCAUGGAGGUCACCCUCUCCUCCAGCCACGGCCUCUACCUCAGAGGUACGCCCUAAAAUCCGAGAGCUCCCCAUUUUUUCACACUCUGUUCUUGAUCUUUUUGACAUCUAAUAUGUUGUAUCUUCAGAUGUGAUCGAACGUCUCAACUUUCUCAGAGGCCAGGGAAUGGCCAGUUUGUACUCUUGGUCCUCCAAACGGUAGCGUUGCCUCCGUUUCUAACGCUGUCUUUGCCCCUUCCUUCUUCGUGCAAUUUCUUCGUUUCAUUCGGUUUUGGAUGUUUCAGGUGCUACAAGAAUGGAUUUGUGUGGCACGAUCUGUCCGAGGACGAUCUGAUCUACCCGGCGCACGGCCACGAGUACGUCCUCAAGGGGUCGGAGCUCCUCCAACCCGUCUCCUCUCCCAGUUCCCAGGACACCAUUGCCCCAUUUUAUGCCUCCGACAAGCCGCUGCCGAUCCCCAAAUCCGUGCACGAAGAUCCCGAAAUCUUGCAAAUUAGGAAAAAAAGGGCGCCUUGGAGCUCCCUCGACCUCAACGAGUACAAGGUCUACAAGACCGACCUGGCGGUGGAGACCGGCGUCAAGGCUGCGGACGCGUCCACGCAGACCGACGACGGGAGGAGCAGGCACCGGGCCGCUGUUGCCAGGGACGACGGGCGCCGAGCGGAGAUCCCGAUGGUGGAGGAGGCCGAGCCCCCAACCACCGAGCUGGAGCGGGAAGAGAUCUCUCCGCCGCCGUCGUCUUCGAGCCCGGAGACCCUGGAGAUACUACUUAAGGCGGACGUACGGGCGUCGGCUUCCGCGGCCACGACUGUGGGGCUCGACGACCACGACCCUACGGUGGGGGGCUAUGCAAGCGGGCGGAUGCGAGCGUCGGCGGUGCUGAUGCACCUGCUGUCGUGCGGCUCCAUCAACGUGAAGGACCAUCACGGUAUCUCGGCGUCGCCGCCGUCGUGCAAGGAGAAGGUUGCGCCACGUGGAGGGUCCGAUUUCGGCGGCGCGAAAGUGGCGGACGGCUUGAUGGAGGGCAACAGCUUCUCGCGGAUCAGGCUGGAGGAUAAAGAGUACUUCAGCGGGAGCUUGAUCGAGACGAAGAAGGGAGGCGACGGCCGUGCCGACUUCCCCGGCCUGAAGAGGUCCUCCUCUUACAACGCGGACAGGUAAGGCUUUCGUCACCUCAGGGGUUCUUGCACACAUCGUUUCUAUAACAAAUCUGCAUUCUUGCUAUGAUUAUUUGUUAAUUAAUCACCAAUUUAUUGAGGUAAAUGAUGUUCUUCGACCUGUGCUGUGCUUUGUUUUCGUUCAAACUGACAUGAUUGAUGAAAACGUAGUCAUGAAUCGACUGAACACUGCUCAUCUUCCUUUUCCUUCCCAGUUCUCGAUAGCCAUGAUUAAUCUAUUUUGGACAAGACAAUUUGCAUUUUGAGUUGGCUAAGCAGCGUUGUUAGCUCUUGGGAUUAAUCGUGCCAAAAGCAUACAGUAGAUUGUUGGUUGGGUAGGCAGAACAUGUACUGCACUGCUAGAAUGGGUUGGGCUGUGUUAGAAAGUUGCACCUUUUACUCUCAUCCUUUUCGGCCACCGCUGCCGGGGAAGCAGGACAGCCUUUUGCCCUGCCGGGUAAGGGAAGGGCCUGAAGCUACCACAGCUGGAUUCCCCUGCUGCAGUGUCAGACCAGCCUUGUCUUCCAUUGUGUGUUCGCCUUCUUCAGGUCUUUACCACUGCAUGAGCCCUUCCCUCAUUGAACGCUUGGUCAUUCGGAUGCUGCCCUUGUCGUCAUAAUAUCUUCACAUUCGUGGUCGCAAGCGAAAUUUACCUCGUCAUCUCACCGUGAUGAAGCGAGGUAAACUUCUAAUCAUCCAUCCCAUGCUUGCUUAGCAAUCUCAAUUUAUGUUCGAACAAACCCUGUGAAACAGAGCUCUUCCGCCAUGACUCCAAUUUUAAUCCAUGAUUGCUUUCGAAUGGUAAACGACGUUGUUCAUUAACUGUGAUGGGCGGUGCUAAUCGACGCUUCUAAAUGUGAGCAGGUGCUCGAAACUGGAGCUUGCGGAGAAGGAAAUCGAGGGCGUCCGUGCCAAAUGCAUCCCCAGGAAGCACAAGGCCGUGGAAAGGAGAGAGGCAAACGCACCAAUCUCGCGCAGCACCCUCGGAAGCAAGCGGAUCAACGAUGAACCCCAGGAUGAAUAAUAGUCUUUGGAAGCUAACGUAAGGAGAACGAAUCAGUAAGAGACUGCGUCAGCCUAAAAAGCCCCAAAGAACAAUAGAGUAAGAAUCUGUUCUGCAACCGAGGAGGAGCAUUCGUCUCAUGUAUGUGAAUGCUUUCUUUUGCCUUGCUGAUCAAGGCACGUUGUUAUGCCAACGAGAGAGGCAUUCAAGGAAAAGCAACGCAGUUUAGCUCCACGAAACCUCUUAUUGCGUGUGUACUAAAAACAAGGCAUCGAGAAUCACUAACUACUUCUUUGACUUGGUUAGUGUUAGUGCAUUGUGACUGACGCUCUCUCUCUCUCUCUCUCUCUCUAGUUAUUUAGCUAAGUCCCAUGGGCUUACCUUUAAUGGCAUAUGUGACCAAACACUGAUGCAGGAUGAGAACGACUCACGGCCUACGACGAGACCCACCAGAUAAAAACGAGGGUGUUUCGUAGGGUCUUCCUCUGCUUCCUCUUUCCUCUUGAUUCAUUCGCUUUCAUGUUCUUCCAAUUCGCCCAUUCACUGUCUGUGUGUUGACAGAAGGAGCACAAGUUAGACUUUUGCUCACUUUAUUCCUAAAUAUAAAAGUCAAGGUCAACUAGGGAGACAAGGAUAGGAAGCCGAACAUUGAUCGGCCUGUGGUGACUUCGUUCGUUGUGCUUUCUCGAUUGCCUUGGCUAGACACACUCUAGAAUUACAACUAAUAGGAUCCCUAUAUAUUGUCGAAGACUAAAAAGAAAUUGGAGUUUUGGUCAACAAGAGAUGGUUGGUUGGCAGUAUGUUUGUGUAAGCAGCAGGGGAAUAUGAUAUGUACAAUAUAUAUAUUGUAUUUAUUUCAUGACUAUAUACAGCAGAAAUGGAUUCCCCGUAGCAGUAGUUGACUUGAUAAAGAAUGUCUCUCCUGCACCAUAUGGCCCCGUUGACAUUCCCUGCUACUAAAUGUAUGGUUCAGAGCAGCAAAGUCAGCGCAGAAGUUCUCCUCUCUCUCUCCAUUUAUAUUCCCCUUGACACUAAGUCCUUUACACAUUUAGCUGGCCCACUAUCUCUUUCCUGGAUUUAGUAAGCAGCCUCAGCUGUUCUCUGCCAUGUUUUAACUCCAAAUCGUUGGCCCUCAGGAGCAGAGAUGGAUAAUAUAGACUCUGGAAUCCGAUGGGCAUUAACAAGGUUGGGGUAUACCCUAGAGACAAGAUGCACUCAGCUGUUGUAGCUUUCCAUCCAUCCAAAGCAGAUGAACUUCCUUGAUGGUGACUCGAGUAGUACCAACAACUAGCAACAUCAGCAGUGAAGCCGCGCCAGCCAACUGGUCGUGAUAUAAAAGAUUAAACUGGAAGUGACGCACCUCAAGAUCAUACUAAUCUACUCUCAGGUCGGCGAUAUCGUGUGGUUCAUGUUGUGUGAGUUCCUGGAGUUCUUGCGUCAGUUGGGUGUCUACGUUCAUCGACAAGACCACUCGAUCCAUAUAAUAAAGCUUUUGCUUCUCUCGAUGUCCAUUGGAUGGAUUCGGAAAAAUUGCGGCACAGCUGAUUCUUUCCGGAGGAAGCGAGAGUACCACAAGUCAUCUGCGGCUUUCGGUUGCCUUGUCCUCUUCCUUAAUCUAUAAAUUGAGAAGCCAAGAAGUGCAAGGAUCCAUCUCAUUAGUUAAUGAAAAAGAGGAGAGUGGUCGUUCCUGCGUUCUGAUUCGCCUGCUUUAAACACUCAAAACGCAGCUGCUGGUUUCUGCGAGAGACUUGCCUCGUUUGGAACAGGUUUGGGUGGAGGCCAGCACGUCCAGAACGACAAGGACAUGGACCAGUAAUGUUGCAUUAUACUUGCUUCGUCGUCCUAUAUAAUGAAUCAUUUGACAAGUGUUUAAUCCAAGAAUAGUCCGAUCAUUCUAUGACCAACCUUAGUGGACUGCAACACAGACGGAUGUGCUUGUGCAGAUUAAUAAGGAAGCAAGGUAUCAGAAGGAAUCGACUAGGCCGAGGCAGGGUGAGUGUGUUGGUGGCUCUUACGAAAGUCAAAUAAGGGAGAUGAGCUCUACUAACACGCACGAAAGAUCAGAUGAUUGCCUUUUUCUGGCUGUGGUUGCUUUCGGUCCAAGAAAUCAACGCUGACAAAGUUUGUAGAGACAGUCAUGCAUCGUUGGAUCAUCUCCAGCUGUAUGUAUAUUUGUUGUGGGUCUUUAUCCAACAGGAAUCAGAAUCCAGAGGCCUCAGUAUAGAAGGAUCUUUCCGUAGGCAAACAUGACGCCGUUGAACAAGAUUAGGUGGGUGAUCGUCCUGAUAGAUACAGUUGAUGGAUCCGUAGUAUCCAACUGUUUGAAAUUGCGUGCACACAGGGAAAGAAAAAAAGGGAAAAAGAAACAAGGCUCGAAGCAAGUUCUUUCUUUCUAGGAAAAAAAGUCUAAGGUCUUGCAGUAAGUGGCUAAUUCUAAUUUUGCCGUCCCCCCACCCCGCACAAGGUCCAACUGAUAACAGGAGCUUAUGACCUUAUGCUUCUGCACUGAACUGGUCAUGAUCUGUCUAUUUUGUGAACCUAAACUUGCCUCUGCAACAGAUAAGCCUAUGUAAGGUUAGUGGUUGGCAUGGCAGCACAACAAAGAUCAAUUAGCAAGUGAAGCUGUAUUUAAGUACCAGUUGUAGUGUUCAUAUAUACCUCUCUCUGACUGCAAACGCCAACUCAGUGGAGUCGUCAUGGAUCCAUACCAUAGGAGACAGCGGGGGCAAGUUGGCUCAAAUGUGAAAGACUUCCAACUGCUGUCCUUCCUGUGUUGCCAAGCGCAUAUCCACUUCCACUCUUUAAUUACUAUUAGUUAAGUAGCAAAGAACCUUUUGUCCACCGGUGAUCACUCUCCCCCUCACUCGACCGGAGAACGCUUGGAGCUCCAGAAAGACAGAGACCCAUCUUUGUGUGCGCGCUGCUGCUGUCAUCACUACCUCAGCCUUGCGUGUUCGCCACGAGACGAUACAGCCCAACUGCUCCCGGAGACUCGUUUCAACAAGAAAACUGUUUCUGAGGCUCCAUAUUUGAUAGGCACUGCAGUGCUUACGUAAGGAAAAGGCUUUACAACCAUAAAUACACCAACGCUUUCUUCUCUCCUCUCAUUGCUUCCAUUCCGUGCGUUCUACUGCAUCUCACGACCUUUUCCUGAGUGAAACAUCCCGCAACGUUUUCGUCUUCUGCUUCCGUUUAGACAUGAAGAGAUGUGGAGACGGAGAGGAAGGAGAUCAGAUGGAGAGCGUCAACGUGGCUAACGUUCUCGUGCUUCUCUCUCGUGGCAGCAGCGGCGGAGAGGAGAUCAUCGACAUCUCGUCACGGCAAUCUCCGGUCCGUGUUUUCGCGUGCAAGACCUGCAACCGCCAGUUCCCGUCCUUCCAAGCGCUCGGGGGCCACCGGGCGAGCCACAAGAAGCCGAGGCUCGCGGCGGACCGCCAGGGUCAGGUCCAUACGGAGCUCGCGAAGCCGAGGGUGCACGAGUGCUCCGUUUGCGGCCUCGAGUUCGCCAUCGGCCAGGCCCUGGGCGGCCACAUGAGGCGGCAUAGAGCCGCCGCUCCGCAGGCCCUCACGGGGAAGAAGCCCGAGGACAAGAGGACCUUGUGGUUGGACCUGAACAUGCCACCGUCGGAGGGAGACGGUGACUACCGGAAGAAGAUUUUUGGGUUCGAGCUCGCGGACACAACUCCUUCUAUGGUGUUGGACUGCUUUCAUUGAUCGAUCCGCCUAUACCUCUGUCUUAAUUCCUCGUCUUCUCUCUUGUCGUUCACCACAUCUGUGGGAUGAAUACUAGGCGUGUUUUGAGCUUUUUGAUGAUUGCUGUUCGAAAUUUUAUUGAUCUUACUGACUAUUAAUGGAUCACGAGCCGGUCAUGAUGAGAAGAUUUUGUACAGUAUAUUGCCUCUGUAAUCUGGGUUGUGAAUGGAACCCUUCAUUUCGACGGUGAAAAGCCAGCAGAGGAAGUUUGACUCCGCUUCAUACGUAGUGGUAUGACCUAAACAAAAGUUGGAAGUGGUGUGCAGUGGUUGCAGAGCGGUCCAUAGGUUUGAAGUUUAACGAGUUAAUGUAGGUGGUGAAUGGGACGGGGAAGUGAUCGAGCUUGCCUGCGACUUUCCUCUCUGCUCACUGUGGCAACCUCAAGAUGCACACGGACCACUCUCGUCAUGCAAGUGCAGGGAACACGCCAUGGCGUGGAACUCACGUCCCACGACCUCGUGUGCAUGCAGGGCGAGAGACUCCCACGUCUCAUCGGCCUCGACAUAAUUUAAGCUCUCGACCACCAUGGGAGCGCCUUAAAGCCCAAAAUUGGCGACUAAGCCUGGCCCGAAUCGGCAGGCGAUCGAGGACGACGACAAACAUGCUGCCGCUACACUUCCGUGUGUAUUCUGCAGGUCUGCACUCCCAUAGCAAGAAGAACAGAGUACAAGUGCCUCAAACCACUGCCGUGCAGCAUCCACAAGCUUCGGAUGUCAUCACGAAGAAAAAAGAGGCCGGCUGAAACGUUGAGGAAAAACGAGCACUGCCAGCGGCAGAAUCGCCCAAAAGGCCGGACAAGUAUAUGUCUGAUUCAUCGUCUUAAACAGCCCACGCAGCUGCCAUUAUUUGGCGGUAGAGCUAUCAGGUUGUCCUCAUCCAAUCCAUAAGAACAUUUGAAGCCUGUUCUUCGAUCAAUGGUGGUGGCAAAGAGCCUCCACCCUCGAGCAACUCAGAGGAGAAUCUAGCAAACAUGAUAUACUAUCUAGUUUGGGUUGGUUGAUCAGAAAGAACUCCGUUGAUCUUUUAAGAAGACAUUUUUUGUUUUAUUCUCAUACACCAAGAUUCAAUUUCUCAAAAAGACUGGGCGAUGAUGAUUCUGACACAAACAUUAUAAGACGGUGAUGGUAGAACAAACUUAAAUGUGCUGAUACCAUGGAGCUAUUGGUUCAAGCGAUACAACUAAUUCCCCACCAAACAUUUGAUGAUCAUGAAAUGGUUCCACCAAGAACACACGGGUCAAUCACACAACAAGCAUAUUCUCCAACAACAAUGCCAUAGGCCAUAGAUUAAGCAGCAAGAACAACUUUUAGUAUAAAAUGUACCGAUGAUGAACUAACUCAUUUGAGUCUUUGCUAAUGAUCACAGCCAUUGACAAGAAGGGGGGAAGCCUCCAAAACAAGAUAAUUUGUGGGAUUUGUUGUGCAUUAUAAGGCAAAUUUGUUUGAUAUGAUGUUAUCUGGAAAAGAAUUUAUAGAAUUAUUCUUCCGGUGGAGAGAAGGAUGAACAUAUGAGAGGAGAUGGAUCAUUGCAGAACACGAUCAGAGGGAGAGGGAGCCACUCCAAGCCUCAAACGAGGAGAGUCGGUGGCUAAUUCCCAGUGGGGCAGAAGGACCUCUCAUGAUGGAUACCUUUGUUUAGGACAUGAUACUGGCAUUUGUCUUCAACAAAGCAUGUCUACUUAUCUUAUGGUGAUCAGUGACAGAGAUGGUGGGGUUUCCCAAAGCCAAUGACAAUAAGCAUCCUAAAAUUCUUGUUUACUUUGUUUAAUCUUUAUGAUGGAAUUUGGAGCAGAGUCCAUGUCUGACUCUACCAAGAACAAAAGAAGUGCCUGUUCUUGGCGUUUCCAUGGACAUAUAUUCUUGUUAGGUGGAACAGAUUGGAUUGGAUCGGAUUGAUGCUAAAUCGUGCACACUAAUUAUUUAAAGUUGUAAUCAAAAUGUAUAAAAAUAUUUGCUUUCUUCUUCUUCUUCUUCUUCUCUUCUCAUCGGUUUAUCUCACAUUGCAAGUCUUGCAAUCAUUGGGACAUGGAGGAAAUCCCUCUCGCGUACUGUUGUACAGCAACACGUCCUUGAAUCGUGAUGUAGUUAUCGAGAAAUCGACAGGGGGAAAAAAUUAUGGACCGAGUUCACCGAGAAUCCCUCUUCGUAAUAUUUUUCUCUCUGAUAUAAAGCCUUCAACAAUGACGGAAGUGGGCACCGGAGAUUUCCCCAGCCACUCGUUGUUUGCUGUUGGUGUCAUCCCGAGAGUGCUGCCAAUUGGAUGUUUGUCCUGAGGGAUUACUUUCAUCCCUGAAUCCGAUCGACGUUUUUCUUUGAUCGAAAACGAACCCUCCAUGAUAUGGACUUUGGGUACGAUGAACGAUACUCCCAAUUCAUUGUGUUUGGUUUCACUGAAAAUGGACUUUGGUGGACUGCAGUACUCCCGCAUCAUCAUCAUCAUCAUUUACGAGUGAGCAAUCGAGAAGAAGACGCCAAUUAUUUGAUUUGACGGCGUAGGACUGGGCUCGAGCGAAUGGCGAGCAACCAAACACGCUUGCUGUUGUUAGUGUUCUCCAAACCCGUGGCUAGAGAGAGAGAGAGAGAUGAUGCGAGGAAGGCCGAGGUCACGAUUGUCAGGUGCUCCAAUGCAUUCGUCGAGUUCAGAUGCAUUGGACUGCGUUGUGGAAAACAUAAUUGUCAUGAUCUGCUCACCCUUACUCGUUACAAUGUUAUCACCGCUAAAAAUUCUAAACAUGAUAUUUGACAUAAUACUUGUGUAUGUUCAUGUUUUCUAUUUGUUCAUACUUUACCCAGCAUAUAGAGGAACGGUCGAAGGCUUAACAAUCAUAUUUUAGUUAGAUUUAAUGGUCUUUUUAGGCUUAUACAUAUAUUGUGUCAUGUAGAGAUAUUCGGUCUGUGGUGGACCAUUUUGACCAUUUAUUGUGUAAUUAUUUAAAAUUUGUAAAGUCUGUUUGUAAUUUACAUUAUCUAUGAUGUGUUUUUGGAAAUGUUUGCUUGUGGAUCUCGAGUAAGACGUUUUCUCUAACCCGUUUUCUCUUUUGUAGGUCCUAAGGGACCAUUGGAGGCUUCGAGGAGACUAAUCUUUACGAAUGGAUAUGCAUAGAUGCCGCACGACUUAGGCAAAACCAGCUAAAUCUGUAACAUAUGAUAUCUAGGGGGNNNNNNNNNNNNNNNNNNNNNNNNNNNNNNNNNNNNNNNNNNNNNNNNNNNNNNNNNNNNNNNNNNNNNNNNNNNNNNNNNNNNNNNNNNNNNNNNNNNNNNNNNNNNNNNNNNNNNNNNNNNNNNNNNNNNNNNNNNNNNNNNNNNNNNNNNNNNNNNNNNNNNNNNNNNNNNNNNNNNNNNNNNNNNNNNNNNNNNNNNNNNNNNNNNNNNNNNNNNNNNNNNNNNNNNNNNNNNNNNNNNNNNNNNNNNNNNNNNNNNNNNNNNNNNNNNNNNNNNNNNNNNNNNNNNNNNNNNNNNNNNNNNNNNNNNNNNNNNNNNNNNNNNNNNNNNNNNNNNNNNNNNNNNNNNNNNNNNNNNNNNNNNNNNNNNNNNNNNNNNNNNNNNNNNNNNNNNNNNNNNNNNNNNNNNNNNNNNNNNNNNNNNNNNNNNNNNNNNNNNNNNNNNNNNNNNNNNNNNNNNNNNNNNNNNNNNNNNNNNNNNNNNNNNNNNNNNNNNNNNNNNNNNNNNNNNNNNNNNNNNNNNNNNNNNNNNNNNNNNNNNNNNNNNNNNNNNNNNNNNNNNNNNNNNNNNNNNNNNNNNNNNNNNNNNNNNNNNNNNNNNNNNNNNNNNNNNNNNNNNNNNNNNNNNNNNNNNNNNNNNNNNNNNNNNNNNNNNNNNNNNNNNNNNNNNNNNNNNNNNNNNNNNNNNNNNNNNNNNNNNNNNNNNNNNNNNNNNNNNNNNNNNNNNNCAUACAUAAAAAUAUAGGAAAAAAGAGUCGACAAAACCAUGGAUGGAUACCCGAUGACGACACGCCAACACCACCACAAAAUUAGUGUAGAAUAGUUCUACUACAGCUUGAUCAUUUCCGUCAGACAAAAUGUCAUGAGCGUACGUCAAUCAUGCAUCUUAAUCGCUAAUUUGGACAGUACUACUUGUUAGAUCGUUGUUCAUACAUGUUCUGUGAGAAUUAUCCCCCUUCUCUUUCCUGAUACGAUCUUGCAGAAAAGAAGUCCAUGUUGGACGUCAUCUGUCUCUCGGCUCUGCAGAUGGUUUCGCGCACAAGCUUAGUUGAGAGGAAGAUGGACGCCACGGUAAAGCACCCUGUUUACAUCCCCAGCCGGAUCUGCUGGUUCUAUGUUUACAAACACAAAUCUUCUACCUCAGCCUUGCAUUCAUGUUCAGGGAUACAUGUCUUCCGGGCAUCCUCCUUGUAGAUAUCUUAGGUAGUUUGACUCGAUUUGCUCAUCUCUAUGCCACAAGAUUUCAAAAAAAUCGGCUGUGAUCUUGUUGCCACUGCUGCGAACACGGUGAUAGAUUGCCUAUCCGAGAAUGGACUAGAGGAGAAAGCAACUCAAGAGUCUGCUUGGGCUCCCCAUCCUCGUUGCUUCCCUGGUGGUGGUUCCAUACGAACCACCAAAAUCUGACUCUAUCCUCUCCCUUCGAACCGUCCAUUUCCUUCAUGCGUUCGCUUUGGAUUUAUUUCAUCUCCUGAUGCAGUCGGUCUCGAUCUACGACGACCUGCUGAGGACCACAAACAAGAGACCAAAAGAAAAAGGAAAAGGAUAUUGAUAGAUUAUCGCAAUAAAAGAUAAAUAAUUAUUAUUAUUAUUUUCCUCAUAUACAUUACAAUGGACCGAGGAGUGACCCAGGAAUAGGAGAUGACCGGUUCCAUGCAAGUCUACCGUCAACAGGGUAACAUGUGGACAGGCGGAUUCCAAGUAACAGCCAUACCAGCACUCGUCUCUCUCGCUAUGUCUGGCCGUAUCCAACGGAUCGAUCUGGACCGUCUGAUGCGAAGGAAUACGCUGUACGGAACCGUAUUCGCCGGCGCAGAAGCAAUAAUAACAACUAUUGUAAAUAAUAAUAAUAAUAAUAAUAAACAAACCUUUUUAAAAGCCACUCCCUCCGCCGCGGAUGCCAUGCGAUGUGGCCACCUUAGUCUACUAAAACUGCGCCUCGCCAUUCACCUCUCUCUCUCUAUCGACUUCGCCUGACUCAUUCGAUUUAGGGCUGCCGAGAAGGGAGGAGGAGGAGGCGGACGAAAGGUGAGCCGCUCCGCCGAGAUCUCUUCUUCCUCGCCUUUUCGUCGGUCCAAAGUAAGAUUUCUGCACUUGUUGACUCUCUCUCUCUCUCUCUCUUUCUUUCUCUAGAAAAGGAGCAAACUUUAUUGGUUUCUUUGUGUAGUUGUUAGAAAGCGUAACUCGGGUGCAUGUAAUAUCUGUGUUCUUCCGGCAGAGAAACGUGUGUCGAAAAGAUUUCUUGCCGUACGUUUGCUUUCUCCUUGAGAGAAGAUAAAAGAUAUGUCUUGGACAAUGUCGAUAAUGAUGAACUGGGGAGCCGUCUUCCGUUCUUGCCGUUCUGAUUCGUCCUCAUGCAGUAUAUAUCAUGAUAUGCGGGACAUCAAUCGGGGGAACGAAGAUCUAUUAAUCGUACAGUGGAAUUAUUCCGCAUUUCAUUCUAUAGGUUGUCAGAAAUUUCCAGAUCGUAAGCCUUUUAUGAAACCAUUCGUUUCUUAUUUCCCCAAGAUUUCUACUCUGUCCUGCCAUCACAAAUCAUGCUUCUUCUUCUUCUUCUUCUUCUUCUUACUCUUAUUCUACUUAGGCCACUCAUGAUUUGAUGGUAAAGUGGUGGGAGACACGGUCAAAGCUCGUUAGCUUCAAUCUCUGGCUUCCUUCCAUUUCUUGCCUGUCCAUAAAUCUACAUAUAUCUUUGGCAACUGGUCGUAGGAGAAAGCGAGUUAGUCUCAAAAGCCACUUUACGGUUCUGGUUAACUACUCCGACCUUCCGCACCUUUUUCUUCUCUUCUCUGUACAGAGUUUCAAAGGCUUUGUCAGAGGAGGGGAUGGGAUGACUUCCUUUUCCUUGCGUCGUUUCGUGUCCUUGUUCGUCAUGCUCCGAAGAUGAUCGAUCGUUUUGAUUCUCUCCUUCCACAGGUGUGCGUCUUCCUCGUCGGAGCAAUGGGACGAGAGCCAACUCUGAUACAAAAGGUGAGACUUCUCUUACAGAAACAAACCACGGUAGAGUUUCCCAACUCAUGUCAGAUGUCCUCUGCCCUCCAGUCUUAUUCUUGGCCCAAGACUGUAGUCCGGAAAUGGCUCAACUUGAAGACCUCAGAGAUCUGUUCUGAACGCAGCAGUAAGUCCGAGUCCUCCGAUUGCCUCCUGUUCCUGUCAUCGAAUUACUUGACAUCUUUCUCCUUGGAUCAAAGCAGAGAAGAACGGAGAUGUACAGAGGAGGAAGAGCUGUUCGGACAAGGACAGCAGCGUGCUCAGGAGAAGGGACUUGCCAGGUACUCCGCAGCUACUCGACAACAUAACCCAACUCCUCUCUCAAUCAUCUGCAAAGCAUUAACGAGACAACUCCAAAGGUUUCAGUCUUUUCAAUUUCUUUUUCUAUGAAUUAGUAGGUGGAUGGCUGGCGGAGGGCCGUGACAAUCUCGAGCCUCCCCGCGUGCCGAGCUACUCGCCAACUGGCUCUUCUCCGCCCAUCGACAACCUCCGGUAAGGGGGCACUGAUCCCACAGAGAAUAUGUUGGAGUUGUUGCCGUCGCAUUUGUUUAAUCCCCCGUGAAGCCAUGGACUAAUUAACUCGUCGACUUGUGUCGCACAUGCCGCCGCUGAUGAUGACGACGAUGAUGCGGGUAGGAUGGUCGUAGGGACAUGGAACGUGGGAGGGCGCCCGCCCCACUGUGGGCUCAACCUAAGGGAUUGGCUUAUGAGCACGCCUUCCUCCCCAGACAUCUAUGUCCUCGGGUAUCUCUCUCUCCUCUACAUAUAUAGUAGUAUGCAGCUCUGCCUUUAGUUUUCUUACAUCCAGCUUUAGCAGCUGCUAAUCAUGAUGAUUCCCUCGCUUUCAUCAACUUCUUUCCCAAAAGGAACAACCUUUUAGUGAUGGCUUAUUCUACACAACCGCAAAAACACCUGCCACGGUCACAGAUGGCAUGUUUAAGUGGAGGACUGACUGCAUAAAAAAAUGGGGGCUUCGAUCUAACGCGACGUGGUUGCGUUUUGUGGGCUGGAACCAUUAACCCCUAUAGAUCCUCGUGCUGCUGCAUGCAUCCAUCCAAUUGCAGUCUCCAGCAGCAGCACGAGGAUCUAUCGGGGUUAAUGGUUCCAGCACUAGAGAUUGGAAAGCCAGCUGGUGGAGCGAUGAAAGAUGCUGAUAACGAGCCAAUACCACUAGCAUCUCUGUCCCGUUUCUCUUCUGCUCCUUUUUCUCAUAUCCCGUGUAGCCUUUUCUUUUCGCCACUAUAUGCUCCUGAGUGGUCUCUCAUCGUGACCAGCGAAUGCAUCCAUUCGUCUGGCACAUGGUAUUACGGAUGGAUGAUGUGAAGCAGAAAGGCCAAGUCCUUUCGACUGCCAUUCCUCGUGCCACCCCCCAUGCCACGCACAAAGCCUGAUGAACUGGAAAGUUGCUUCGCCGCAGUAGCACUCCAGCAGUAAGAAGACAUGAUGUUAAGCGAGUCCUACUACGUGAUGAAUGGAGCUCAAUUUUAUUGGACUCUUAAUGAUGUGCCGCUGUAUCGCAUUUGACACAGAUGGGACUGUGAUUACUGAUUGAGAUCAGCGUCCUUUCUCGUCUGAUAACUACGGUUAUCACUCACUCUCCUCGAGUGAUGUUCGAUUUCAACAGGACAUGUCGCUUGGCUUCUUAAUCCCAUCGACACCGACAACUCGUAAUGAAAACAUUUGCAUCGGUAUCAGUGCCAAGGAGAAGGCUGAGGAUUUGGGGUGUUCUGUAUAAAUCUGGCCGUGUGCGACACGAUCUCGUCGCGGCGGACUUUGUGGCACCUGAAUCGCCCAUGUUAAUCCUGUCCUUCUGCUGCAGGUUUCAGGAGAUCGUCCCCUUGAACGCCGGGAAUGUGUUGGGCCCCGAGGACAAGGGCCCCGCCUGCAAAUGGCUCUCCCUCAUUCGGCAGGUGCUGAAUCCCCCCGGAAUCCACGGCGACGCCUCGGAGUCCGACUCCCCGUCGGCUCAGAAGCCGCGGGUCAGCUUCUCGGAUCUCUUGUCCAUGGAGCUGGAGCUGGAGGAGCCCGAGGACGAGCUCGCGAGCAUGAAUCCCAGCUCCAGCAGCGGCGGCGAGUCGCCGGAUCUCUACCUGGGAUCGAUCACGCCGCACCGCGGGGGUUACUGCCUCGCCGCGAGCAAGCAGAUGGUGGGCAUCUUCCUCUGCGUGUGGGUGCGAGCCAGCAUCAUGCACCGCAUCAGCGCCCUCGAGAUCUCCUGUGUCGGCAGAGGCAUCAUGGGCUGCAUGGGGAACAAGGUUCGCCCACCUUGCUGUUCACCAACGCCAUCAAGUAGCUCCUGACACGCCUCGCCCCCCUGCAGGGGUCGAUCUCGAUCAGCAUGACUCUGGAGCGAACCACGUUCUGCUUCAUUUGCACGCAUUUGGCGUCCGGAGAGAAGGACGGCGACGAGGUCCGAAGGAACUUGGAUGUCGCGGAGAUCAUGAAGAGAACUAGAUUCCAGCAAUCACAUAGGAUCGCAGGGCCAGCGCCAUAUCUACCGGAGACAAUUCUGGAGCACGAGUAAGCCUCCGAUCGAGCUUCUGAAACAAAAAAGUAGCUCGUUGGAGCUGAUGUCUCUAUCGUCGUCGUCGGGCUAUUCCACUGACCAUUAAUUCAACUUGCAGCAAGAUUAUAUGGCUCGGAGAUCUCAAUUACCGAUUGGCUUCCACGAACAGCGACACCCAUCAACUGUUGCAGAGGAAUGACUGGGAAACCUUGUUGCAGAAGGACCAGGUGAGAGAAAGAUACGCGAUACACCGGGGAAUCCGUGUAAGAACAAAACUAAGCUUCUACAUCGUGUCAUGUACUCGCAGCUUCUGAUAGAACAGAAAGCCGGACGUGUGUUUGCCGGAUGGGACGAAGGGAAGAUAUAUUUUCCUCCGACAUACAAAUACCUUGCGAAUUCUGACGUUUACGCCGUCGAUCAAGCAAAAUCGAGAGAGAAAAGGCGCACCCCUGCUUGGUAAUCCCCCAUCAUCCUUCUCCUUUCUAUUCUUCCCCGACUUUGAACUGCAUAGAUUAGAGUUACGUUGUUGUGUCGUUCGAUGUGUUGACCGUGUCAUACACGUCCUGUAAACUAAUAGCGGUUGCUGCCAUUCCAAGUAAUUGAGUUUGACCAGCUCAUUCCCAUGGCGAGCAUGCAAUAUAGCUACUACCGCAGCUCAUCUACAUGCUCUUCUUCAUCAGCAGGGCUGUUGUUUGUAGCAGAGAACACCACAAGUAUCACAUGACAGUGGUAACAAAGAAGCAGAGAGAGAGAGAGAGAGAGAUGUCCUGUUUCCAGUAUCCAAGUUCUAAUGUCGUGCGGUGGUUGAUGUAACAGGUGCGAUCGUAUACUGUGGCGGGGGAAGGGGAUGAAGCAAAUGAGUUACGUGAGAGGCGAAUCGCGGUUCUCCGACCACCGCCCGGUCUACUCUCUCUUCUCUGUACUGAUGAACGACGGCAUGUUCGACCACGGCGGGGUGAUGACGGCCGAAGAGCAUAAAGCAGCCGACGUGGAUUCAAAUAGCAGCAGCCCCCUGUCGUCGUCAUCGCGAGGGAAGGUGCAGGCCGAGGAGCUGUUCCUCGUAGCAACAGCACCGAAGCCACAUGGAAGCCGACGGGUUCCGAACCUAUAACCAUCCUAUUCUUCUUUCAUUAACCAAUACAAACGAAGAAAGAGAGAAGCCAAGCUGUGCGCCGCAAAAAGCCAACGAGCGGCAUUUGCUCGGUUAACCAAACACUAAGCGGACUCCGCGGCGUGUCAAGGGGAAGCCAAAGGCGACGGCCUUUGCGCGUGCAAUGCCGACGUCGUGCUCGCAGGUUUGUCUCGAGAAAGACGUAGCUGUUGUAGCCCCCAAAUCGAGGAGGGAAACUCGAUGCUUUCAUGUUUUUUGAUGACGAAGAAACAAAAAUGUGGUGAAGCGAUUGAUGAGUUUACGGAGAAGUAUGUAAAGCAUGGCAGCUUGAGUUGCAUCUUUUCGUCAGCUUUUGCAGGCAGGAGACCUGUUGCGUUCCGCAUCGGCUCGAUUCUUCCAUUACCUUUGGCUGGUACGGGAGAGGGAGCAUGUUGAGCUGCUCUCGUCUCGCAGCCAUGCGUUUCGAUACCGUCGGCAAACAUGCAAUGACAUCAAUGGCUAAUCCAAACAGAAGAUAUGAUCAUUAACUUGCUGAGUAUAAAAAUCAAACAACAUGGUUUGACAAUCACCAAAGAAAUGAGGCAGAUGGUAAUUGCUCGAAUCAGAUAUAAAGGAGAAUCAGCAUCAGCUGCCAUUUCUGAGUGUAAAUGACAACAGAAACACCAAAAAAGAUGAACUGUUCAAAAUUUGACAAUGGUUCAUGAGCAUAGUACCUUUGCCUGAAACAUCAUAAAACUCAAGCAACAGCUCAUUUCAUAUUAUUUGUUCUGGGUCCGAUAUCGAAAAACUUUUCAAUAAGGAAAACUGAUCGCCUCAGGCUGUAAUGCCUUUUGUACAAGCUCGGUUUGCUCUUGAACAUGAACAGAGUAGAAACCUGUGGCCGUUGCAGCAGAAGGUGCCCUCCCGACGUACUUGAUGUCUUCAAACUCCCCCCGACCUAGUGCCCUCAUGGCGGUGUAUAGGCGAGGAUUGAUAUAGCUGUAUGCACCCAUGUUCAUUGGCUCUUCCUGACACCAGACAAUUUCCGCAUCUAUAGAAACACAAAUAAAGAACUGAAGUGAGCACACAGAUUUUAUUAGUAAAUACCAUCAACAAAAAAAAGAGUCUAAAGGCUACAAUUUGUCCCAGGAGGCACAGAUUACAAUUUACAACAAAUCCUGAGCCAAUAAGAAAUAGGAUCUAUAAUCAACUAGCCAGUGGUAGGCUUUGCAUUUAAGUUAAAGUCAGACUCAAGAAGAAGUAAUAAUUGUAGGCCCGUGCUCCUCAUGGUUCCAUAUGACUUAAAUCUUAUCCAAUAACUCUAAACUAUCAGAAGAACCACAACUAUACUCUAAAACUAUCAGAAGGGGCUCUCAGCAUUGAUUAGGCUAGAGAAUUCACUGGCUGUUACAACUAUGCUUUAACUACGAAUGACAACAUUUUGGUUUGGACAACAAGUCACAAUAUAUACAAGUACACCAAAGUGAACAUCUCUUGACUUCACACACACACACACACACACAUAAAACCAUAUCUCUCACUCGCUGUAUUCAUACCCACUCUCACCGUGUCAAGGUAAACCCUUCAUGACUGAUCAGACAUUAUGGAUGUGACAAUAACCAGAGGUAAAAACACUUGAACUUUAGUAUCAACAAUGAAGGGAACUAGAAACAAUUAGCAUUAAAGAAAAGAUCAAAAACAGAAGUCCAUACUUGGAUAUCGCUUAAGCUCUCUUUGAAUGAGGUCAUAGGGGAAUGGGCAAAGCUGUUCCACUCUACAAAUGGCUACAUCCUGGCGAUCCAACUUCUUGCGUCCUUCGUCAAGUUCAUAAUAGACCUGAAAAAAGCAAAUGUGAAAAUAAAUAAUUUAUUCAAAUAUGAAAAAGUCAUUAAAAAAAGAGAUCAGAUUGUCUAUAGAAACUGAAAGAAAAUCACAUGACUUGCCUUUCCAGAGCACAAAAUGAGACGGUUAAUACCCUCCUCUAUCUCUUUGUGAUUAUUCUGGUCCUUUAUAAGGCGUUUGAAACGUGUUCCUUGCUUAUCAAAUCCUGGAUGGCCUUCAAGAUCAUCAAACUCGGAUAGAUUUGAUUUGCAGUCCUUGUGCCGAAGUAGGUUCUUAGGGGACAUCACAAUCAGAGGUUUCCGGAACUCCCGAUGAAUCUAGACAAAAUACCAAACAAUGACUUCAACUGAAUUUACUUGUGCAAUGGAACAAGCCGAUGAUUUUUGCAAACACUAACCUGCCGUCGCAAAACAUGGAAAUAAUUUGCAGGAGUCGUCACAUUCACGACUUGCCAAUUGCAUUCCUGGAUCUGUUUCCGGAGAGUUGGGUCCAUCUCAGGAAUUACAUACGGGUUAUCAUCACUCAUCUGUUUAACAUCAUAGCACAUUAACUCUCAGAGAAACACUUUAAUUGCAUGUUUGCAAUUCUUCAAGUAGCUUUCAAAGGUGUGUGAAAUUGACAAUCAAUAUUCUUAAAUAGCUCUAUAAUGUUAAUACAGAAAAAGGAAUUUCUCCAGGCCAGAAAAAAUGUAGAUCAUAUAAAUGAACAGACAUAUCUUCAUGAAUAAAGACAUACAAAGUCUCAAUGUAUUUGAACUAUUUAAACCUACCGUACAUGUAGUAAAGAACGGAUGAACAAGACCUUGGAAAGGGAAAAAGCAAAAUCAACCAUAUAAAUUUGGAUUUGAACUAAAACUGCCUGAUAUACAUGCAGUCGUCAAGCACAUGUUCAUGUAAGGCCUUAGGAAAACAUAUAGACUCCUCUGCUUCACGAUUUAGACGACAGGUUUACCAAGUAUUAUACAUAAUGCCACACGGUAAUCAUGAAUUACCUGGAGGAAACGCUCCAAUCGUGCACUUGAAUGUUCUGGGCCUUGACCAUCAUAACCAUGGGGAAGUAAAACAACAAGCCCAGUUUGGCGUAGCCAUUUGGAUUCUCCACUGCUCAAAAACUGAUCAAACAUUACCUGUGCACCAUUUGAAAAAUCACCAAACUGAGCUUCCCAAAGUAUCAAUGAGUUAGGGUUUUCCAUCGAAUAGCCCAAUUCGAAUCCAAGGACAGCAAACUCUGAAAGUGAACUGCAUUUAUAAUGGAAGGUUAGAAAGUUGAGCUCAGCUAUAGCAGAUUACUGUAUACAAGCAGCCCUUCAUGUCAGCAUCAUUACUAGAAAUAAGUAAUGAAAGCAACUUAGUGAGGGUCUUAAUUGACAAUAAAUGUUUCUUUCAUUUGAAUUCUUUGCAAAUCAAUAGUGACGUAUUAUGGGAAUACAAAUGUGUGCUAGUAUCAAAAGAACAAAACAUUCAAUGAUGAGAAAAAAACAAUGGAAUCCAGCAAUCUAUAUAUCAAGAAUAAAUCCAGAAAUAUGUUCCAGGACAGCAAGAAACGUCCCAAGGUAUCUAAUUAUCCCAGAAUUUUGCAUAAUAUAAGUCACCAAAUAGAUAACCAGUCAUCUGAAAAUUGCUCCUGCGAAGAGUUACAGAAACGUAGAGCUAUUUUUUUACGACACAAAACUGUGACUUAUCAAAUGCAGACCACUUCCAACAUUGAAACAGGUUCCAGUCUAACAACAGGAAGUAGGACCAGAUAUUCUAAAGAAUUUGACGAUUUGACUGAAACAUCUCACCUAGUAGUAAUAAAAACAGACAUUAUUAAGUUUAAAUUCAUGAAACAUGCAAAAGAUGGCCAUCAUUGCAAUAUCUCUGUCACACUGUCAAACACAUAUGAAGCAAUUAUCCAGAUUAAAUUUUGGGAUUAAAAUCAAGUAAAAAAAUAAGUUCACCAAGUGUAGUUGAGUAAAAUACCAUGUUAACAUUUAUAGUUAAGAAAUUCAGACAAUCAAGAGCCUCUUAUACACCACCAAAUCGCAAAAAUAAAUCAAUAUCAUAUUUUCCUACACAAACCUCAUUAGACUUGCAAGAAAGUGAAUUAUAUAACAAGCUGAGAUUAUCAAGUCAGAAAACUUAUGUUUACUCAAUAGCGAAUAACAGCACAGACCAAAAUACGUGAAAACUAUGGUACAAACCUGUUGCUGACAGUGAACAACUCUUCAUCUUGGUUCAUCACAAUAUGAUCCAAAGGGCAGUAUUUCUCUCCCGUCUGUUGGUCGUGAAUAACUGAAUGACGAUGACUAAAUGUACCUCUUUCAACAUCUUGGCCACUCAAUCUAACAUGAUUUCCUUCUAUAAUUAGAGUAGCAAAAGCAAGUGCCUCUCCCAUUGCCCAGUCAAUGCCUUCCCCACUUUCAAUCAUCUGAGCACGUUGCUCAAAGAUCUUUUUUACUGCUCUAUGAGGCUUGAAAGUUUCAGGAAGAGUUGUAAUGGCUUGUCCAACGCGUUUCAAAAUCUCAGGUUUAACUCUGCGGAACAAGGCAGUUGUUUACAUAGCGCAUCACCAGAACAAAGAAUUGCAUAGAAGAAAUUUUUAACCAACAAAACAAGUCACGAUACCCAGUGUUUCGAAUACGCGAAAUCUGUUCUGGAGACUUAAAUCCUAACCAAUAUGCUGAAAGCCAGUCCCUCCUUUUUGGAACAUAGUCUUUGCUGUUAAUAAACUCUUCAUUCAAAAUGGAAGUGACUUUGUUGUGAAUUCUUUCGAUAUCUUCUUUAGUGAUUUCUCCCGACUCCAAGAGUUUGCUUUGGUAAAUUUCAAGUGCACUUGGAUGAUUCCGUAUGACCUGUUAGAGGGGCAAAAAAUAUAUAAUUAACAUUGUCAAGUAGCAAUUAUGAAGACCUAUUACAAGUCAAUGUAGAAGGUAUAUUGCAAAUGAUUGCAAGCGUACACAAUUUGAAGCCUUCAGCGAAAAUUAAAGCUAUUAUGUCAUAGAUGACCCAACUCACAAAGCGCCACUGUGCAAAAAACCAAAACUAGGAGAAUGAUUCACCUGAUACAUUUUAGGUUGUGUGAAAGAGGGUUCAUCAAUCUCAUUAUGGCCAAAUCGUCUGUAACAUACUAUAUCAACCACCACAUCUGAAUGGAAUGUCUGCCUCCACUCCGCUGCAAGCUCACAAACAUGGACAACUGCUUCCAUAUCAUCUCCAUUUACAUGAAAGAUUGGAGCAUUCAGGGCUUUGGCAACGUCUGUGCAAUAUUGAGAAGACCUUCCGGACCCAGGAUCAGUGGUGAAUGCAACCUGAUUGUUAAUCACUAUGUGGAUUGUUCCCCCGGUAGUGUAGUUGGGGAGGGCACUGAGAUGUAGAGUCUCAUAGACCACACCUUGUCCUGCAAAACUUCCAUCACCGUGGAUCAAUACACCCAUAUUUUUUAUCCUAUCAAUAUCGUUGGAGUAGUAUUGUUUUGCCCGUGUCUUCCCAACCACAAGUGGAUCAACAGCCUCCAAAUGACUUGGAUUGGCGACCAAGGAUAAAUGAAUCCUUUUGCCACCUCUGGUUGGCCUGUCAUAUGAAGUACCCAAAUGGUAUUUCACAUCACCUGUUCCUGUAUACAACCCAACUUCACCAUCCACAGGCUUUGUGCCACUGCUGAAUUCACUGAAAAUCUGACGCAAAGGCUUCCUGACAACAUUGCCCAAGACAUUCAGCCUGCCUCUGUGAGACAUUCCAAUAACAAUACUCUCCACCCCCUGGUCAGCCGCUCUAUCAAACAUCUCCUUCAUCCCAGGAAUCAGGGUCUCCCCUCCUUCAAGACCGAACCGCUUUGCAGCAGUCCACUUGGUAGCCAAGAAAUUCUCAAACUCAGUGCUCCAAAUAAGCCUGUCAAGAAUGACCUCUCGCCGUUCCCGACUGUACUCCCUAGGUUUGACCGUCUCAAUCUUGUCCCUUAUCCAAUUACACUUAUCCCUAUCAGGGAUGUGCAUGUACUCAUAUCCCACGUUCCCGCAAUACGCUUGCUCGAGCCUGUUCAAAAUCUCGCGGAGGGUUUGCACAGGGCGGUUAUCCGACAAGAAGCCAGCCAUUCUCCACACACCAAGGAAGAACUCCCUAUCCAAAUCUGCCUCCGUGAAUCCAUAGAGACCCAAAUCCAAAUCCUCAGGGAUUUCACGCUCCUCCAAACCCAAAGGAUCUAACUUGGCCUUCAUGUGGCCAUUGACCUGGUAGGCCCUGACGAGCAGUAGCAAUCGCAUGCUCUCCUGGAUGGUCUGGCCGGAGAUUCCUGGCGACGUGGCGGCCUGUCCAACGAAGUUCCUAAAGAAGUUGUCCCACGACUCAUCGACGCUGUUGGGGUCAGCCUCCCAGGCCCGCUGAAGCUCCUCCAAGUAGACACUGCUGGUGCCAUCCAGGAAGCUGUCGGUCAGCCUAGAGAGGGGCACAGCCCGGGGGAUCGGCGCGGCGGACUCGGCUUUGCGCCGAAGGGCGGCAGAGUGGAAGCCCCGGGAGGGCGGAGAGGGGAGGGCGCGGGGCCUGCCGAUGUGAUGCGGCGCCUGAGAUAGGUUUCUCCUAAUGGCCAAUCUGGCCACGCCGGACACGGCCCUAAACCACGCCAUGGCGAUGGAUCUCGACCAAGAUCCGGUGGAUCACCACUAAAAAGAUCAACUUUCUUUACAGAGAAACCGUUAAUAUCGGAGAACAAAGAGAUCAAACCUUAAACCAUACACAUCACAAGCUGAGAACGCGACGACAAUCCUGAAAAUUGUAGAACCAAAAAAAAGAAUUUUCAUCAAGGCAUUACUUUCUUCGUCAUUACUAAAAAACAGACUAAUCUGCAAGAAACUUGGACAAAACUAACGAAUCAAAUAUGGAGGAAAGAUGAAAACAACAUAAACACGUUAAGAAUCGACGACAGAAGACUAGUAAGUGAUGUUGCGGGUAGCGAUCGCACCUGAAAUGCAGGUAGGAGAAGGCGGAACCCUAACCCUGGGCGAGGAGCCAAAGGCUUCCUUAUAUCGUCAGAAGGCCAGUACGCCACAGAGCCGCCUUUCCCGAGCCUCCCAGUUUGGUGGUCUUCUCUACGCCUGUGGUUCUCUGAACUACGCACCUCUUUCUCAUAAAUGCACUCCCACUUGUCACACGAGAUAGGAAGGAUUAGGCGACGAGACAAAAAACGGGGGUGGCAUAUAUCAAAAAGGCGAGCCACUGUGUUCGAGUCGACGAACCACGUUUACCGAGUUUCUCGCGUGCGACGUGACGGCGUGUCACUCCGACCGUUUCGUUGGCCCGUUCGGUGUGGAUGCCAGCUCGGGUGCAACAUGCGUCGAAAAGCUAAAAGGGCCCCUUCAAACCAAAACCGUCCAUCCUACUUUUGUUUCUAAUAUCAACCGUUCAUCUACUUCUUCUUAUUCAGAAGGGGCAGGCGAAGAGUCAGAUGGACGGCUCUGAGACGACGCUUUGCCGUGCACGAUUCCGUCGGUGUAAUUUGCAUUCUUCUGGAUCUCCCCAAUGUCGACGAGACACGAACGACGCCCUGUCGUUCACGUGCGUGUCUGACAGAUGGCAGCCCAAGCGGUCUUCGUGACGUGAAACCUGAUGCCUGGGCUGGCUGGAACAGGCGAGCCUCACCAAGGGAAUCGGAACUCGCUCGUUGACGGUUUGAACUUGGUUGGGAUGGGAUGGGUUGGGUCUCUGAAGUGCGCCGCACCACAAUGAACUCGAGUUCAAUGUAGUGAACUUGAGUUCGUGUCAUCGACCAAAAGUUUAAGCCGAACAUCUCGACGCAUCUAUUAUUCCAUCUUCUUUAUUGUUUCACCAUACGGGAUUAUGAAAUCAUAUUAUUCGAUUCUAGAAUUGACCGAGUGUUUUUACCACCUAAUCCGUCCUGUACUGUGGACAUGACACGUGUGCUAUUUGACCAUAUGUGUCGUGCAAGUCAAACCCAUUGACUUUGUGGAGAAGGAGAAAGAAUUUGAUACAUUACGGAUACGACUUUCGGAAGGAGAAUGACGAUGACGAUCUCCCACACGGAUCCAAAGUCUCGGAGCAAGGUCAGUUAUGUGGCAAGUUUCCUUCUCUAGUUUCGUCAGCAUGGGCACGAAAACUUUUAUUGUCUUCAAGUAGACUGAUAACACAUUUUCAUCAAGAUUAUUCAUCAGCAAGGUCAGUUAUGUCGGAAAAAUCGACCCGACCUUUUCUGCAGGAGCGAAGCCGAAGGUCUUCGUCGGACGCUAGGCGAGGAGUUCCCUCCCGGGGGAAAAUGCGACCCCGUCUCGAUCGGACCACCGCGUGCGACCACCUCGGCGGACUCGAAACCCGUCCCGGAAAGAUUCCUCGUCAUCCGGACCCGAACCGAGCUACGUCAGCCCCGAGGCCACGGCUCCAGAUUGUUUACACUAAUAUAUGUACUUUUCUGAUUUAAGAUAUUUAAUUUCGCAAGCAUGAAUUCUGAUACCAAUUAUUAGUAUAAAAUUAUCAUCAUGUUAUUAUGUAAAAUAAAUUUAAUGUCAGAAUCUAAAAUUAAAUAAUAAUAUAUCAAUAUUAUGAUUUUUUUUAAUGUCGUUCAAAAUAAUAAAAUACUUCGUAGUUUUUUUUUCUUCGAUCCAAUAUAGCAACAACAAUCUACAAAAAGAACUAUAAUUAUUUUUUUUUCUUCUAUCCUGGGUAGGAUCAUAAGAACUAAACAAUAUAAUAAAAACUAAAUAAAGAUAAUAAUAAUAGAUCAAUAAUCUUGAUAGUGUUGUGUAUUGUAUCGUAGCCUUAAGAAAAUCUUUAUAUAUUUAUAUGUAAGAAUAGGAGAUAUAACAUAAAGCAUUAUAAAAGUUCCUCCUAAGGAAACCUAUGUAGAACUAAAGGAGGAGAAAACCUGUGCAUGCAGUGAAGCAUCUUGGGAAUGCAUAUAAAGCUCAAUUUAUAUUAUAGCACACAUUAACAAAAUACAUGACAUGACGAUCUGCUGCUACAACUAUUUGGUGCGAUGUCACUUGUCAUCAACAUAUGGGGUUGAACACAAAUUAAUUUGGAGCUUAUUUUAACAUCACUUUGUCUCGUGGGAAGUCUUUCGAACUAGGAGUAGAAAACAAAACGGUCAACUGGUCUCGGAGGAGAAGAGAAGAGAAGAGAGAAGCCGUUCGAGUUAGCCAGAGUUUUCUCUCUUGCUAAGUAAAUGAUGCAUCAUUUAUAGGGCAAAGGGAUGGACUGACAGAGAUAUGAAACGGAUGAUCCCUCAAAUCACGGCUAUUUACGACAUCUCUUCGCCUUUUCUACUCCCCACUUUGAUUUCCUUCCUCAGUUUUCCCAUUUCUAUGCCAACCACCAUCGUUUCUCAUUCGUCUUCCUGUCCUGUGCUCCAUCUCUAGCUUUUUCUCCGAUGGCAAGCUUUCCUCAGACGUAAAGCAACGGAGCCAUCCUUGUCGCAAGCAGUAGCAGUUCUGCAUCCGAAUUAAGCAAAUAUAAGGAGCUUCAUUGGCUUCGCUUACUGCCCUUCCUCUCCUCCACCUACGCACCCAGUCAGAGGUAUGUAUUACUCUGCUUCCUUCGUUCUUAUACCUUCUCGUCACCAGAACGCAUUGUUGGGUUAAUCAUGCUUUAAACCUCUCUCAAUUUUACAUUAAUUUCGUGGAUUGCCUCUUCGUGUUGUUCUUCCCUAAUAUUUGCUGACUGAAUUGUUCUGCAUGUUUUUGCUUAAUUCGAGCCAAUAAUUGCAGCAUCUAAUGCAAUAUUUUCCUAGUUCACGUAAGAUUGAUUGCGGAUCUUAGCAUGCCACAGUUCCCGGAAUCUAACGUCUUGGGAAUGUGGAACGACGCAGCAUUUCCCCAACUCUCUUUCCCUCGCAGCAGCAGCAGCUUCGGUAUUAUAGAUAUAAAUAUAUAUAUAUUUAUAUAUAUAUAAAGUAUCGAAUACUGCUAAAUUUCCGACAUGGGUUCUCGUUAACUCGUCAUGUGUUCGAGCAGGAAACUCGGAAUGGCUGCAGAGUUCCAACACCUCUGCGGAGCUCGAGAGACUGUGAGUGUAGUACUAACAACGCUAACAUUCUCUUAGUACUACAGUUCGAUACCAGCUAUAGAAAUUCUUAUAGUGAAGAUGACUCAUGAACAGAAACCACGGCAAUUUCCUCGGUUCCCGUCACGAUAACUACAGUGAUUGCUUGCAGCUCCAAGGCAGCUGUCCACCACAUCUAGGAUCUAUCACAGGUCAGUUCAGUGAUCGCUACGGAUUUGUAUAGAACAGUACAUUUCCUGAAUCUAAUGCAGCAGGAGAUGGAGAUCCGAUGACCGUCACAGUUGCUGCCGGUUCUGCGGAGGACAGCACUGCCGGAGUUCAGCGUAAAGUGAGUCGUCGUGCUUGAGUCAACCUCGAGGGGUAGUAUAACGCUGUCUUUUUCUUGAUCUGUUUCCGUCUUCUUCUUCUUAACUAGGUUUUGGCAGAAAGAAGGAAGCGUUCAAGGGCUAGAGAUCCUGGAACCAAGCAUCAAACGACUUCACGUCCAUCGAAGAGGCUGAAGACUGUGUGCUGGCAGACUCAGCAUCGCCUGCCGGCGGACGAGUCAACAAUGGCCGGAACGCAGCUCGUCAAAGUAGUAAAAUUCCCACCUACUCUUCGGGAUAUAUCUAUGCAUUAUUAUUCCACCAGUACACCCUUCCUUUUUCUUUUCUUCAUGCUCCUUCAUCCUUCAUCAUCAUUCUUAUUCUUGCAUCACGCAAAUGGAUAUGUAGGCACCUGCGAGAAGGAGCCAGAAACUAGGGGAUAAGAUAACAGCUCUUCAGCAGCUCGUCUCUCCUUUCGGCAAGGUCAUCUCUAUUUAAAGUUUAGACUGUAUGUGGAAGCAAAUUGACAGCUAAAUUGGAUCUACGUAUAUAGACGGAUACUGCAUCGGUACUUCACGAGGCUGCUCUUUCUAUCAACUUCCUUCACGAGCAAAUAAAGGUACGUUCAUCUAACAUGUUCAAUAAGUGUUCUGAAUGAAUCGUCUCUUAUGAAUGGUUUAUAUUUCUGAAUCCAAACAUGGUAACGAAAAAUUCAUGAUUCUGCUACCAUGAAACAGAUGCUGGCCGCUCCAUACUUUGGAAUGAGCUCGCCAGAAGUGCGGGUUCAGGUAAUCGAAUACGAGACCCUUCUUCCAUGGAUCUGCUAUUCCUGAAAUCCUUCAUGAAAGAUCGUAAAAUAAAAAGGAAGAGAUUCCUCGAGCUGAUGCUUGUGUUUACCAAGUGAUGAUGCAUACAAAACAGGCAUUACUUGGAAGAUUAACCCUGAAUACUAUAUCCCGUAUAUAUAAUUGUCAGGGCCAUGCACGCAACAGCGCUGACUUGCGGAGUAGAGGACUGUGUCUUGCUCCCGUCGACGCCAUACCGGAGCUGAUGGAUGGAAAAGCUUGCAGUAGCUGUUGGCCAGAGAUACUGGUGAGGGAAGCUGGUCUCGAUCGCCACCGCCUUUCCAACUUCACCACCAUGUAUACACCGUGAGCACCGACCUCAGCGUGGUCUGCACCUACCAUAGUUCGUGCUCCUCAAGCGAGACCCAGAAUAGCUCCAUGUCAGUUCGAAAUGGUAUGACGCCCAGAAUAGUUCACAUUGUAGUUGAUGAGAUGGCUUUGUGCUUGGUUGGUGGUGUUAUUUCCGUUUACCUUUCUUUUCUAGAGAGAUGGACCGGUUUUAGUCCACAUCUCUCGUUUAAUUCUGUAUACUCGAUCAUCUUUCGUGGUAGCAUCUGCUCUAUCCUUAUAUAUGAACUUUCAUCUUAGUUGGAUUGCUUUAAUGGUGCAAACACGCAGCAAAAGAUUAAUCUGUUGAUAUCUUUAGGGUUUAACCAGCCGGCUAGGUGAUGACAGAGGAAAAGUCUUGGGACGUUGAACUGCCGAUUGUUUGACCUAGACUGCAUGAAGAAGAUAAUAGAAAAAGGCAAGCCGAUGAACUUGUCGUUGGCUGGUGGUAGGGUUCGAUCAAAGUAAACUACAUCAUGGUUUAAUAUAUAUUUUUAUGCAUCUCUAAGUUUAAUUUGAACAGAUUUCCGACAGGAGGAGACUGUGUAUCAUCGUUUACGUUUACACUUUACGCGCGUGUGUCGGGCCGGACGCGUUUGCCUAUGGCCCACCAUAGUGUAACUGGCACACGUACGAUUUGCAUGUUGAUGUAGACUGUAGAACGCCAUGGCUACUAGUCGUCGGUCUCAACCCGGAUAGGCCACGUGUCAAUCAUCAGUGGAUGCUGGUCCACUAUCUGCUGGUGGUCGUUGACCGUGAGGCUUGACCUGCCAUAAAGCCCCCGUUCGUCUCCCCAUUUCUCCGAUCGAGGUGACUAGGGUUGCUUCAAAUCUUCUUCGAUAUUUUCUGCUUCUGUUCAGUCGUUGAAUGGGCUAAUUUGGAUCGGGCGGCGUCGAGUUGGGGUUCGUCGGAUCGCGAUCAAGUGUUCCUUCCCGCCGUGGGCAUCGACCAUGCCUUCGGUGUUCGCAGGGCUCCCCCCUCGCCGCGCGGUCAUGAGCCCAUCGGCUACCUCGUUCAACGGCGGUUCUUGCUCUCAUCGCCUUAAGCCACUCGAGAAAUGGAGUCGUCGCGGUAAUUUGAGUCAGUAGUGCGGUCCGCGCGUGGCACAGCGGUUGUUUUAGGGCUUCCUUCUCGUCUCCCGGUCCCUUUUCUUUGAUCCGGAAGGGUUUUCUUAGAUAACUUUGGAUAUUUUCCUUGAUUGGCUGCCAGCGGCGAAUUGUGAGUUGGAGGAGUGUUCGAUUGGCUCUGGUUUCUUAUACAUGCGAAGGUAACUGAUGCUACACUUCUACGUUGCUGUUAUUCUAAGAAAGCUUUCUUCUUGUGUAUUUUUUACGAUUUUCUUUUUUUCGUGCGGCAGAUGAUCUGUCCUCCUUGCUGUUGUUUGGCUUAUCUGAUCAGCAGACUUCUAUCUGUCGUUAAAGUUUAGUCAUUGUAUCGAACUCUGUACACAGCGAUCAAAUUGCAAGCCUUGUGUUCUUGUUGCUUAAUUUUGAUGCACACCAUGUGCUAUCCUUUUUAAAGGAAACAUUAUUCUGUUCUCUUUUGCUAGAUUUUUGUAGCUGACAUGUUUCAGUUUAUUCUAAGGUGACUUAUUGCAUCUGCCUUCAGGUGAGGUGUCUUCCUCUUUAUGUGGUAAAAAUCAAUGUCUAAAUAGUAUUGUAACUAGAUUAGUUUUAUUCUUUUCAGUAUUAAUCAACUAUGCAACGAUUAAGUGCUCUCUCGUAUUCCUGUAAAGGGGUUUGAGGUAGGUACUUACACUAUUAUGUCCUUCAUGUUUAGCCAAUAAACUUCCGUGGCAUAAUUUUCUUGCUACUAUUUUAUUACAUUCUUGAUACUUAAUGUACAUACGUGAAAUUGUUAUUGAUGUGAACCCUUAUCGGCUCUUGAUACAACAGCAGCAAGAUGGACAGUUUCUCUCGUGGUGAUACGCUUAUUGUCGAUGCUAGUUGUGGCUUUUAUGUAUAUGGCCUUGGCUGUGAGAAGUCACAUGUAGAAAAUGAAGAGAGUGCCUGUUGGAAAAUUGAAGAUACUGUGAACAUCACAUUUCAUGGGAUCUCGAGUGUUCCUUUUGUUAGUGAAAAGGAUGUGUUAACAGUUCAAGACACUACUGUUGCUCCUGCUAUGAUAUGCCCUGUUGGUGAUCUUCAAGGGCACUUUUCUGGUUCUAAUGCAACCUCAGAUGAGGAAGUAAUUGAACUAAAGCAGACCGAAGCUUACAAAGAGUUAUGUCAUCCGGCUCCUUUCAAUUUGAAGAAACAGAAAGCCUUGGCCAAGUCUGCAACAUUUCCUUCCUCGAUAGAGGUGAAUGCUGCUGACUUGUCUAUAAAUGGUGGUUGUAGGCCAGAAACAGCUCUUCAAGACAAGUGUUCCUUCACAUCUAAUUAUCCUACCUAUGAACGUUCAGCCUCUCUUCCUGUGAGUUUCUGGUUUUCUAAGUAAUGUUUAAUGCUUAAGUUGUUUUCCUUACACCAUGCAGGUUUUCUUGGUGAUGUAUCAUACUGAACAUGUUUGUUUAUGGUUGAGCAUAAUAUAUAAAAUUUUGCAUGCCAGCACAAAGAUCUUUAGAAAGCAAUGAUAUUGAGGGACUACACCUUUUUAUUUGGUGAAAAUGCAAAGCUUAUCCUAUAAAGCAGAGAGUGGAAUAUGAUGAGAAAGGAAGAUCAUUGUCUUUUUCUCUCAUGGACUGGAAUUUGUUGUUUCUCCCAGUAGGAGAUAACAUGAAUGCACAAGUAUACUUGUUCAUUUGUUUAUUAUAUGCAGUGCUGUUAGUAAUCUUAGACAGGGUUGGCGCUAGAUGCAAUUGAAGUUGCUAGAUUUUUUUGCUGAUGGCAUUGUCUGUCAUAUGAUUUUGUACUUUUUUCUUUGAUUACAUUGCUAAAAUGUGAUUCAUGAUUGAGCUUCCAUGUGAUUGUAAUUUUCAUGUAGAAGUGGACUUUGCAUAUUUCACUGAUUGAGGUUCUGUGGCAAUAUACGUUCAUUUCUGCAGUAUUUCAUAUUUUUGCUCCUUAAUCUAUUGAGUGGACUGCUAUUCUCCAGGCCUCCUCCAAUCUGAUUUCUGCCAUGAAGGGAAGCCGUGCCCAGAAUGGUUCACCUCUGAAUGUGAAGUUACAUGUAAAAUGGGCUCCUGAGGUAUAUGAUCCACCGUGCACCUUGUUGUCGCACACUGUAAAGAAGAGCUAUCACCACCGGCACAAAGCAAAGAGGAAAGAUAGGAAUAAACACAAGCACAAAGGUAAGUCCACUCGGGGGAGUAAUACCGAGAGGAGAAUUGCAAAUAGGAGCAGCGUCACCAAUAUGGCUGAACCUGUGGAUACGAGGUUUAUUCUGGAUUAGAAUAACAAUUUGAGAAGAAUUGUUCCAUCUAUGCACUUGUUAGUAAGAAUGAACCUCACUAUAUUUUUUUCAGGUUGCAAAUCACCAAGGACGGAUUGCAGCUGAAUGGACAUGAAAAAUCCAGCACGGAAGCCUUAGAAUAUGCAGUAUGCAAGCAAGAUACAAAGUGCCGAAGCACCGUCUUGAGGGAGGCACUUGCUAAAGUGCAUAUUUCUAUGGCAGAGGCAACAUGAGAAGUCCUCGUCAGGGGCAAUGUUUACACAAAUAUCAUGUUGAUGAUUGUAGAUAAAUAAGCACGACACAUUUACACUCAUCCAUCCGAUGGUUUCCGUUUAUCUUGCCUGUAGUGGUUGCCAUUUUGCUUGUGCUGGUUUCGUGGGCUGAGGAUGAGAACACCAUGGUAAUUUCGAGUUCCAGAAACUACAAACCUAAGAAUGUCGUGUUGUCGUUUGGUCAUGGUUGAAAGGAAAUGCUGCCGUUCAUUAUGGUACUUGAACGUUUUGUUUGUGAUGUUUCUUCAUGGUUAUCUUUGAGAUUUUUUGUGUGUUUUGGUUCAAUUUUUAAAGGCGGCUACUCUUUAGUUGCCUUAAGUUUCGGUGAUGUUGAUGCUCUUCGUUUGAUGGAUUACGUGAAUAGCAAUAUGGUCGUCGGACCACUAUACGUACAGGUAUGCAAGGAAUUAAUGCAUCAUACGGUUCGUCUGGCUACCUGUAUAUGUUUGUGUCGAGGUCGUAAAGCCAUCUUCCUGCUUAAUAGUGAAGCCAGUAGUGACGCAGACUAAUAAAGCACCUGAUAUCGUUGGUCCCAUGUUUAUUAUGGUCACAUGUCUCCCGUGAUAUUAUCGAUUGGAUAUCGAGCUAACAAAUGCUUCUCGUUAUUAAUUUAUAUCAUAUCUUUAUAUAUUAUAAAUGUUGUAAGCCAGAAACCCGCAUGAAGGAGAAGCCCAUCCGGUGAUGGCCCAAAAGCAAAAGCCACGGUGGUCGGUGAUCCAAGUCUCAGGCUGGGAAUGAGCUUUCCCAAUUGCCACCCUCACCUGAUUCUUGCCAAUUAAGUGAGCGUUUCUUCGGUACCGUGGCCCCUAGCCUGCUGGAGGAGAUCGACGGAGAGGAGGUCGAAGAUGCUCGCCGAAUCCCUCAAGCCUCUCCCCCUCGAUCCCUCCCUCGCUAGUGUCGCGAUCUGAUUUUUGUUCUCCUCCCGCCGUUCAUCCUUCUUGGGAUCGAACCCUCUUCCUUCUUGGAACCGGCGAUCCGGAAUUUGUCCGGAUCGGGAUCCGAAAUGGCGGCCGCCUCGGCCUCGCGACGCCUCCGCCAGCUCCAAUCGCAGCCGGGGAACAAGACGUGCGUCGACUGCGCCCAGAAGAACCCGCAGUGGGCCUCCGUCUCCUACGGCGUCUUCAUGUGCCUCGAGUGCUCCGGCAAGCACCGUGGCCUCGGCGUCCACAUCAGCUUCGUCCGAUCCGUUACCAUGGACUCCUGGUCCGAGAUCCAACUCAAGAAGAUGGAGGCCGGAGGCAACGACCGCCUCAACGCCUUCCUCGCCCGCUACGGCGUCCCCAAGGAGACCGACAUCGUCGCCAAGUACAAUACCCGGGGCGCCGCCGUUUAUCGUGACCGCAUCCAGGCCUUGGCCGAGGGUCGCUCGUGGCAGGACCCAUCGAUCGUCAAAGAAUCGCUCAAUUCUGGUGCCAAGCCGCCUUUGGGGCGGAGUGGUGGGAAAGGCGCCCACCAGUCGAGUAACGGAGGCUGGGAUAGUUGGGACAACGAUGACUACCAGUCCUCCUCCUAUUCUGAUAUGAGGAGGAAUCAAUCAACGGGCAACUUUAGGACCGGGAGCGGUAGCGGGAUUGGUGGGGCACCCCCGCCGCCCAGAUCUAGAUCAACAGAGGAUAUCUAUACCAGGGCACAGCUGGAGGCGUCGGCUGCAAACAAGGAGAGCUUUUUCUCCAGGAAGAUGGCUGAAAAUGAUUCUCGCCCUGAAGGGAUCCCACCAUCGCAGGGGGGGAAGUACGUGGGAUUUGGUUCCACGCCACCGCCGCCUCCUCAGAGUAAUAAUUCACAAGGUGAUAUGCUCCGAGACACAGUUUCGAUUGUCUCUCAGGUGAUGAACAAUCCACAUAAAAAUUGCCUACGUUUUAGAUUUACAUGUUGCAAUCCUAUCAAUUAUCUGAGGUUAAGUGACCUUGCAUAUUUUGCUUAUCCAAAUUUAAAACUGUAACUACACCUUUAGAAGCAAAGAUGCAGUCUCUUGCUCUUUUACAUUGUUCUCCAGAAUACAUCAACUAGAGUUGUCAUUGCUGUAAAGUAUCUGCAGAAAGACAGAUUGCAGACCAUGCUGUAAUUACUAUUUCCUUGACUCUAGCAUAGUUCAAGACCGAGGACCUUCUUGUAAUUAAGUAAUUUGUUCUUUUGUAAUAAUGGAAACAGCAACAUAAUUUCAUACAAAAAAUACUGUCCGAUUCUUUGUUUAAAAGUUAGCAUGUUCUAGUUUGUCCACAAAUUUAUACUGAUAUCACACUAAUGUGCUUCAUUGUGGGUUAACCUGGAAGUCUUGGAUAUUUUGUCUGUUGUAAGUAUAUAGUUUAAGCAUCAGCAAAAGAAUGGUGGUUGGUCUGUCAAAACUUGCUCUUUGCUAGGUGAUUAUGCUGAUCAUAGAUGUCCCUCUAAAGAACUUAAUUACAAACUUUUGAAGCAAAUUUUGGACCGUGACUAUCCCAGUUUGGAAGAUGAAGCAGAUUUUUUCAACUAACAAGAUUGGGACUAGAAGCUCCUGUGCAAAAAUUUCAUGAACAACCUUGUCUAUAAUAUUUCAUAUGCUUAUACACAUCAAGGUUUGUCAUAAAGCAUAAAUUAUAAGAUGAAGUUUUUUAAGGGCAGUCUACAUUUAUUUCCAUUAGGCCAACCCAAUGAUUAUUUGUUUCGCAUCCAUUUUCAAAUUUCUUUUUGUAAAUGUUCAGCUAGAUUUUUACUGCAUAAGUCCGACCACCUUAGGGCUUGGGACUAGCCAGGGAGGAUAUAUGCAACAAAAAUUCAAGUUACUUAUACAAGAUUCUAUCUGUGGUGAAUUAUGUGAAAUGUUGCCAUAAGCACAUUUUGCAUGUUUAAUGAGACCUCCACUUUCCUAUUCUUUUUUUGAGCACAUCAUUCUCUUUCUUCACUAUCAGCCAUGCAUUUUUUCUUGUUACAUCUCUCUCUGUUUGUUUGUGCUUUUUUUUUGUAUCUAUAAUUCUAACUGCAAGUUCCACUUGUUUCCACCGUUCACAAUUUAUUAAUUUUCCCUUUUAUUUGAGUAUAUCAUUUCAGUUUCUAGGUUCCGAACUAGUUAUCUUGAAUAAACUCACGUACCUAUUUUUCAUUUUGAUAGGGUCUUGGCCGGCUAUCCUUAGUUGCAAGCUCUGCUGCUAGUGUUGUCCAAGCAGGCACAAAGGAGUUGACUUCCAAGGUAUUGUUUAUUGAUGUCUCAGAUUUGCUCAAUGCAUGUAGGAGAAUGUUAGCUUCCCUUUGUUGUUUUUUGCUGCCACUGUAUAUAACAUUCGGAUUCUGUAUCGUUUAUAAAAUUUUAUAUAAUGCCCUCUUAAUACCUGUCUUCAAGACCUCUAUUUCUCUAGGAGAGAUUUUCAUUAGUUUAGGUAAUGUUCUUAAUCUAGUCUUACCAAUUAACACAAUCAUUCAGAACAGUAUUUAUGAACACCGUCAUCACUAUCAGUGGUCAUUAUUGUAUCUGUAAUGUCUGUUUUAAUAAAAUUUUCAUGUAAAUUCUAUACGGAAAAAAGAACUCAAUGAUUUGGCAUUGUGCUCCUAAACAUGAAUCAAGAAACUAUAAUUUCUGUGACUGACAACAAAAAAAGUUUGAUGGCAAGAGGGUUUAACAGUAUAUAAACUAGUGUUCUCUUUAUAACAAUCAUCUCUGUUACAUUAUAAGCUUAUAUAGCAAGAGUUUUCCCUUCAAUCGGAACAAUCACAUAAAAGAUGUCUCAUGGAGACCAUUAUUCUAUUAAGUCUCCACAUCUGUGCUGUGAGCAUGGGUAUGAAUAUGGGAUAACAACGGGAUAAGCUGCAGAUAAUGCCAACGCAUAAACUCUUGAAACAUAUGGUAGUAUAUUACAUGGAUAAAAUAAUGAAAAGUAAUUGAAAUGUAUAAUAUUUCAUGCCAAACAAUGACAUCCGUUUAUAGUGUCAUCAAAUAUUGUUAUUUCAUGAGAACCAGCAAAUAUCUAGCAUCCUAGCCUAUUUAUCAGAAGAAAUAUUUUUCUCAAUAUAGUACCACAAAUAUAUAGAGUAAUUUAGGACAAAUAAUUAUUUUUAUCUUUUUAUGCUUAUUACAAAUGACAUAAGAAGUCAACAUUUAAGAAAAAAUUAGUUUCUGUGGCAGAAUGUAUAGAGGUAUCUCCUAAGUGCCAUAUAACUAUCAGGUCAUUUUGAUAAACAAUUAAGAUUCAAAUGCUAUAGAAAGUAUCCGAUGGACGUCCAAGGAGUAACUUAUAAGCACCAUGUUCGGCAAGUGUUUAGCAUGAAUGUGACAAGCAAUUUUUUAAGUAUCCAUGUCUCAUAGCUUCGUCGUGUUUGUAUGUAAGUAUGUAUGUACUUUUUGAUGAAACAUCAUUUUAGUUGAGUUUGAAGUAGAUGCUCGUUUGAGUAGUGAUGUUCAGAUCUAAGUACUUAAUAGAAUAGUUGUGGUGACGGUGAUACUGCCCCAAGCAGACAUUAAUUGCAAGAAGGGACUUAAUGAUGUCAACCGUAAAUAGUUGGGAUCUAUACCAUAUCAUGUCAUAUGUAGUCACAGGUCAGCUUUUCUGUUUUUUCCAUUAUUUUUGUCAUUAUUUUAGCUAUUAGCCUAGUUGCACAUUGUUAUCGUUGUUGUUUGCUCUGUGCUUGCUUGUAGACUUUUCUUUUUUGAAUUAGUUUUUAUUUCUUUUCAUGGAUGAUAUCUUGUUGCCAACUUUUGAACAGUCAUAGGAUAUUGUCGGAGAAUUUAUGAAUAUUUACGUUAUAUUGGGUUUUUGCAUUUAUGCUUCCUGUUCUAUGUAUUGCAAGAAUCUUAUUAUAUAUACAAUAAUAUAUGUCCUUAUUUUUGUAACACAGAUGAAGGAGUCAGGAUACGAUCAGAAGGUCAAUGAAACUGUGAGUGUGGUAGCCACAAAAUCCACAGAAAUUGGGCAGAGGACAUGGGGAAUCAUGAAAGGUGUCAUGGCAAUGGCAUCACAAAAAGUUGAGGAAUACAGUAACGAAGGGAUCAGCUGGAAGGUGGAUGAUUGGUCACAGAAGGAAAGUGUAAAAAAUGGAUACUAUCAAGAGUUUGGUCAGGACAACAAGAAUUGGAAUUCACCUCAAGAGAAUCCAAACAAGCAUUACAAUUCUGUGAGCUCUUCCUGGGAUAACUGGGACGAGAAAGAAAGGAGAGAAGAACCUAGGAAAGGAACACAAAGUAGUGAAAGCUGGGCAGGUUGGGAUGACAUGAAAGAUGAUGAUGGCUAUGCUAAUUACCACUAUAGCUCAUCAAACAAUGCUGCCAAUCAAAAUGGAAAAUCUGGUUCAUCGUGGACGGAUGGUGGAUUUCUGUGAGGUUGAUCUGUUCUCUUAAUCCCUUUUCCUUUAUUAUGUUCUAAAUACAGUAGAGGUGUGUUUAUUAAAGUUUAUAUUGUUAAAACUGUUGGGGAGGUUAGUUCUGGAUUUUCAAUUUCUCUAUAAGCUGUAUCUGCAAUCUUUACCAUUCUGCUAUUACCAACUUUGCAACCUAAAGAUAUGCUUGUGUAGAAAUAAAUGACAACUCCCUGAAGUUCCAACUUGUCAGUGUUCUGAUCAUAACUUGUGCUUUCAAGUGCAGCUUUGUCUCUACUUUGCUUCAACUAUCAAGUUUGGGGUUUGGUGCCAUGAUCAUGUUUUUUGUUCACAGGAGUUAUGAAAAGUUGCUCAUCUUGAUUUUGAGACGGGAAUGAUGCCAUUGAGCAUUUGCGUCGAUGCGAAUCCCUUUUGCAUCCACUUGUCAUUAUAUAUAUAUAUAUAUAAUUUUUUAAAUUACAAUUGUCACUUUAAUUCAGGGCGUUCUUUCUGCAGUUUGACUGACGUGGCAGCCACCUUCACCGACUUAGAGAAAUAUCGCUGCAUAUGUCGUCAUACAAACAGUGUCUUUCCCGCUGCCCCUCUCUUCUUCCACCUGGUCAUGUCCUCUUAACCCCGAGAGCCGUCUCGUCCGAUCGAUCCUACCACCUCUCAGCCCAAAAAUUUCUCCCUCGGCCACCGAUCGCCGCUCGACCUCUGCCUUGGUCAGCAGCCCGAUCGGUGAUGACCGUCGCGCUGUACAUGUCCCUCGACGACGUCAUCAAGAACAUCAAGAAGGCGCGACCUCGGAGGUGUCUUCGCUACGCUGGCUCCGCCCGUCGCUUGCCCAAUCUUUCGGUUAACUACUUCGUCCCUUGCUCGACGGAAAAGGUACGUUCAUGGUCUCCGGCGAUUUUUGGGGUUAUUCAUUUAGAUCUCCGGCCCAGAUGGGUUGCCCUUCUUCGACGGUUAGGGUUUCCUCGAUGGAGACGAGCACCAAGCUUGUAUCUCCAACUUGGAUUAUAGGGUGUCAAACGACGACAUCAAGGCAAUACUUGGUUGCCUUUUCUACUUCAUAUUACACUUCAUUAAUUGUGAUGUUUCUUCAUUCUUCUGCUUUAGGUUUGGUUGUUAUUAUUGUUGUCAGGCUUCUUCCACACUCUUCUUUGUUUGACUAUCGGAACAUAAUUUUGUUAAGUCUCCAAGCUUUGUUCGUUUACUUGUUCUUCUUCCAAGUCUUCUUGGUUCUUGAAACUGACUGUCAAGAUUCUUGAUCUAUUUGUUGUAUGUAUUAUUCUGCUUCGAUCAGAUGCAUUGCCUUUCAGUUGGAUUGAUUCUGUGAUAUACUUGUUAGACGUUUUUUGACGCUCUUCUUUGUUCGUUUACUUGUUCUUCUUCCAAGUCUUCUUGUUUCUUGAAACUGACUGUCAAGAUUCUUGAUCUAUUUGUUGUAUGUAUUGUUCUGCUUCGAUCAGAUGCANNNNNNNNNNNNNNNNNNNNUUGUUCUUCUUCCAAGUCUUCUUGUUUCUUGAAACUGACUGUCAAGAUUCUUGAUCUAUUUGUUGUAUGUAUUGUUCUGCUUCGAUCAGAUGCAUUGCUUUUCAGUUGGAUUGAUUCUGUGAUAUACUUGUUUGACUUUUUUUUGCGCUCUUCUUUGUUCGUUUACUUGUUCUUCUUCCAAGUCUUGUUGUUUCUUGAAACUGACUGUCAAGAUUCUUGAUCUAUUUGUUGUAUGUAUUGUUCUGCUUCGAUCAGAUGCAUUGCUUUUCAGUUGGAUUGAUUCUGUGAUAUACUUGUUUGACUUUUUUUUGCGCUCUUCUUUGUUCGUUACUAGCACCAUAGAAUUCUUCUUUUACGGCUAUGGUUUUCCAUAUAGCUGUGUAUUGUUCAGAUGGAGUAUUGCUUUUUCACGUGUUCUUGUUCUUUGUUAAUGCUGCUGAGUUGUAUGUCCUUUGACUUCUUGUUGUUCAUAAUCUCUUUGCCUUGUUGAUUUUAACACUUGUUUGUCGUUUAUGUUUUCUCUCUUUCUGAUCAUCUGCAUCGCUUCUGUCUCCAACUGAUUCUGUACUCUUGAUGAUCUGCUGUUCUCUGACUUGUUCCACUCUUCUUUGUUUCAUAACCAGAACGAACGUACAUAUCUUCCCUUGCAGUUGUGCUUUACCAUUCAGCCUCGUAUUAAUUACUCCAAUGGAGUGUUUUCGUUCGUCAUGAAUUUUUCACUUGUUGGAAGUCUCUUCGUCUUCUUGAAUUAACAAGAUUCUCGAGACAUUUAUUGUUGUUGUUGUUGUUUUGAUCGGCUGCAUUGUUUCUCUUCUCUAUUAAUUUGAUUUUGUAUUCUCGACCGAUCUUGAUUUUUGAUUAUUUUCUGUUGGAUCUUGGUAUCUCAAAUUGUGCUGAUGCUCUUAUAUUGUCCUUUGCUUCUUCCUUGUCAACAGAAACUUGAUGUCGUUAUUCUUGUUGCAUUUCUUCCAUGCUCUUGCAAAUUGUGCUUUGCCAUGUAUGUGGCCGUAUGUUGUUUAGGCAGAGUCUUGUUGGUGUUUCGUGGGUUGUUGGUCUCUGUCGAGCAUUUGAGAUUUGUGUUCUUUGGCUUGCUGUUCGAGGUCUUUUCAAUUUGUCAAAAUUCUCGAGUCAUUUGCUGUUUGUGUUUAUCUUUUUUCAAUUAAACUGCAUAGCUUCUUUAUCGAACUGAACUGAUUCUGUGUUCUUUACGGAUCUUGAUUUUACUUCCUUUUGGUUGAAUCAAAUCUUAGUGCCUUCUUUGUUUUUUUGGGGGGGCUGGUCGUUGUUGUUGUUGUUGUUGUUGUUCCUCAUUCAUAUUAUCAAAGAUUCUCGAGUCUCGAGCCUUCUUUGGUUGUUGUUCGUGUGUUUCUGUUUCUUAAUCAGUUGCAUUGCUUAACCGUCGAACUGAUUUUGUAUUCUUGACUAAUCCAAAUUUUUCCUUUUUUAUGUGAGGUGUUGAUGGGAACUGAUGUUUUGGUACAUAACUUGUUGCGUUUUAUGAUGGAACGAGAUCAUCAUGAUCUGUGAACUAUUGCUCUUCUGCCUGUGUUUCCUUACUUUUAAAUACUUGGAAUGAUCUGUGAACUUCUUUUUUUUUUUUUCUUUCAAUUUUGUUCCAUGUUUCAUUCUUUAUAUAGAAAUCUAAUUUGCUUAAUUCAAAAGUUCGACGCUGCAGGCAAGCGAGGCUGUGAUUGCAGCGCUUCAGCGAUAUUUCUUAUUUUCCGACGUCAUACAGUUUCGAUGCAAAGCACGAUUAAGUUUCAACAAAGAGUAGUCUUAACACUUUCGAAAUCAAAUUACUGUCUAACACUUUCGAAAAUAUUAUUUUCAAGAAAUCCUUUGCGGCAAUGGUAAUCACGAAUUCCCAACAACGUGCAACAAACAAAAUCAUUAGGGAUAAAAAUUGUUAAAAUCUUAUGUGAAGUUAUUAAAAAAAUAUAGAACAAGAAAUAUCAAAAAUAAAUCAUUAGGGAUCGAGUAGUAGCAAUUUAUUUUUUCAAUGAUAGAUAGGAGAGUGGCAAAGAAUAAGAAAAAUAAUAAUAAUUUGAAAAUUUUGGAUAGCUAUCUCACUAUAAUUCAAAGGGCGAGUUUUUAAUAUGAAAUCAUUUCAUAAAAAAAAAAGAAAACUAUUAAUAAAAAAAGUAAUUAAUUAAUCAUUCUAUGGGAUUUUUUGAGAAAAUGCAAAAUGAACCCGUAGAUUCUUGACAUAAUUUUGUGGAUAAAGCAACUAAAUGCAAGCUUUACGACCGGGGUUCUUUUUUCCAGCCCAAAUACAAACCUGCGAGGCUCGAGCGUAGGAAAAGAGCUAGAAAGCUCUCUUCUUGCAAUGUAAUUUUUUUUUGAUGUAAAAUUUUUUUAAUUACGUAAAAGUAAUUUUUUGUUUUUUUUUUGCUUUAAUUAUGCUUUUUUAAAAUAAAGUAUAAAACUUUAGUAAAAAAAUGUUAAUGUAGAUAUUUUAAAUUAAUAAUUUUUUUUGAAGUAGCAUUUAUUUUAAAACAUUUAUUUUAAGUGUCAACCUGCUAGUCACCAAGUUUGCUUUUUUAAUGCUUAACUGAAUCCUGACCAAGGAUGCACUGUUUUAUAUGAAUGUAACUGACAAAUGACCAUCGAAGAUCAGUCUCGUAAAGGUUAUAUAGAAAGAACAAUAUAACCUUUGUAGAGGCACCCGCUACAAUAUUUUUUUUUUAAUUUCUGAAGCUGAAAAGCAACAAUAAAAUAAGAUGCAAUCGAGAUAUUUCAAGCAAGUCAUCUGGUGAUUCCAGAACAACUAUAGCCUAUACAAAGAACAUUAACGCUCAGAAUAAAACUCAAAAGGGGAGAUCGGGAUGCCUGAUAUUACGGGUGAAAUAAAAAUAAAAUAAAACAAGUGCUAGCUACUAAAGUGCACAGAUAUAUUAUUGCUAUGAGUGGGUAAAAGUGCUAACCACUCAAGAAGAUAGCCAAAAAAAAAAGGUUCCAAGUUCUAGAUUGAACAAAUGACCAACUGAUCGAGUAAAAUCUCUUCUAUAUGUGUUGCUGUCAAUCUUGACCAGGGGAGAAACAGAGCAACACCAUUCAGACAUGAAACCCAAAAAAAAAUUCCCAAAAGAAAAGUAAAUUGUUCAACAUACCUUCCUUGAUAUCUAUCACCAAUGCUAGUCCAUAAUGAUAAUUUAACAUACCUUCAUUGGAUUAUUAUCAUGCAAGUCAAUGUGCACAAGGAAAAACAGCUUAUAACCAUGACCAGCUUCAAACUAAAAUUGUUCAUGUAACUCAAACUUUGAAACCUUAGCCUUGACUUUAAGUAUUACAAAAUCAGAUUUUUUUUUUUUUACUCUUUGAUCAACCAAACCAUUUAACCAAUAAUAAAUUUUAUAUGCACAUUCCAGGAUUUUUAAUAUAAAAAAGGAGGAAGAGAUGCAACACAGUUAUCGGAAAAGCAGUUCAAAGUGGAACAGAGAUAAAAAAAGGUGAAAAGACUGUUUAAGAAAAAGAUAUUUUAGUUGGUUGAUCCUAUAUUCAAGCAAUCAAAGUCCAUGCACAUAACCUGAUAUCAAGGCAUGCCAUUAUCCUGACCUUAAGCAUCAAAACAAUCUACUUGCAAUGACAAAUCUCAUUGUACAAUUCUAAUUACAGCUCUAAGCACUCUUUUAACCCAAACAUAUAUUAGAGAGAAUAGUUACCAUGCAAGCAAGAUAUAUUAGAGAGGUUACUAUCUAACGAAUGAAAAUGCACAAGGAUGAGUUGUGUUACCAUUUUGCCUAAGAGCAGUACUUUGAAUCCGAACCAGGAUGUUAAAACCAGGUUCAUAACAUCCUCAUUCGAGUGCCUUUAUUGAGAGCACCCUCUUCCUCCCAUGUAUAUAUACCUUGUUCAGGUCAUGGAGCCACAACACAACACCAUGGGAGUCGAAGAAGAAGACAAUGGGAAGCAUGAAAGCCAUAAUCAGCGAUAACCAUCCAUGCCAUAGCCAAGCAAACUUGCUCUGUCAAGCAGACGUUUCAGAGAUUAUUAUGAACUUAAACCAAACACAAACAGUAGUCCUGGAAGGCACCAUUUAAACAAUAACAUAUCAACUCACGAUGUUGCAAUGCAACCUACUCAGAGUUCGUCAUUUCCUUCAAGCAUCUACCAGUCGACUUCUACUCAGCUUCCUACUCCCUGCACGUCUCAACUAUAAUAGUUUCAUCACUCAAGAUAAUCAGAUACAUGGAUCAAAACAGCUUUAAUCAACUAUUAGCAGAAUAAACAACUUAUUGUCAUCCACAAUCUCUCUGUUUUCUGAACUUAACAAACAAGCUGGAACAAAAUAUGAACCCUCUACAACAGUAACUGAAAAAAAAAAAAGCCUUCGUUCCUCCUAAAGAAAACUUACAUCAUUGGAGAUGAGAUGAGCCACUUUCUCAAAAAAAAAAAAAAAAAGUAAAAUUAAUUUCUUUUGAGCAAACAGCUCACUCACCUUUUUUAUAUCCCCUGCACUGGCUGUAACAAGAUCUUGAUUUGUUAUUAAUUGUGGCACAGAAUGAGGAAAGCUCAAUUACCAACUCAAACAUACACUUUCAAGCUCUUUCUUGGUUACCCAUUUAUAUCUCACAACCAUAAUUGAACAAUUGAUAUAUGCAACCUAGAACAUGUCUGGAUGGAAACAACCUGGAAUAGAAUUAGCUUCUUGUGCCUUCUGAAGAUGGAUCUUCAAUGUGUAAUUGUGCAUCUGCGAAAAACAAGUAGCUUUUCACCAUUCAAACAAAAGAAAAUUAAGUCAGAAGGAGGAUUAUCAAACACCAGGCAUGUCAGAACCACACAACAUUAUGUUAACCUUAGAUUCCUCAAACUACCUACCUGGCUAAAACUAAAACAUUAGCAGACACCAGAGUCACCUCUAUUUACCUCCAAUGCCCGGACUUGCUCUUGAUACUGGCAAAUAGCAUGCUUCAAAUGUUGCACCUCCCUAAUCUUCUCCUCAUUCUCUGAAUUUCGCUCGUGCUGAAUAGCAACAGCCCUCUUUAGGAUCUGGUUGUCUCUGACUAAGCAAUGGAGUUGCUCCUUUAACAAAUUACUCUCAUUCUGCUUAAUGAAAUCAAACCAAGGGGAGGACCAAAAAUUAAUAGCAAGACAAUAAUAAAAAAACAUGCUUCUACCGUAACAGAAUUCAGUGUUCAAAGUUAUCUACCUCUACUACUGCUGUAGUCUGAGCAACAACAUCUCCUUCAAAAGCUUCCAAGAUCUUCAUUGCACGACCACGCACAUCACCCAAAUCUGAGGCAUUCAUCAUUUCCUUUACAAAUAUAUCAACCCAAGAAGUUCCUUUACCGGCUUCCCCAGACUGGAGGUCUGCCCCAUCAUUCUCAGAGACUUCAACUUUCUUUCCAGAUGUCUGUGAAUUCAUGACACCUGGAUUGCAUCAUCAGAUGAAUGGUCAAAUAGAAAAAUGCAAAAGGUUUCCACACACCACAAUAGCAGCAUCACUCGUAUAGUCAAACUGAGAUGGAUGCGAUGGUAUCAAAAGGAAAUACAAACACUAACCUUCAAGAACACUAUCAUUUGAUUGUAAAUCAGAGAUCACUCCUUCAGUGCUCAAAGAACCAUCACCAAGGCACAGAGCAUGGAGACUCUUUAUGGCAUCAUCAAUUUUGUGAUCUUGAGUAUUCAAAACUGUUUCAACAACCUGAAACACAUCAAAUUGUUCAAGGUCAUCAAAACCUGGGUAAUAGCAUUUCCUAAUUGGCAGAAAAAAGGAAGAAAAUCAGUAUCAAUUUGUGAAUGACGCCAUCCCUCAACUGAUUAGACUUAAGUGUAGCUCAUUCAACAUAUUUGCUCACUAAAUGAAUAAAAUAAUGAUGACAGAUUAUAAUUGUCAAUAAAGAUUAUCUUGUGUGUAUGCAUUAAUCACUACAUAGAGCAUUUUGUAUAGCCUGAUAUAAAUCUUAAGAAUGAGUUCAAAUAAGGCCAUCCUCCUGCCAUGACAGAAAUUGCCUGAUAUAUCGUAAGACAUCCAUGGACUAACAGAAACAGCAAACAUGGCACUUAUGAAAGAAAAUAAAUCCAUCAAAAUAACACUCUUCCACCAGUUUGAAACUUGAAUUCAUGCAUCGUGCAUAAAUCAAGAAUCAUUCCCUGAUUCCUAAGCCACAAAAAAAAAUAUGUUAGUAACAGGCAGAGGAAUAGAUAGAAUGGCUAGGAAGAGAACCGAGGUCAAUCAACAGCCAGAUUUAUACAAUGGUAGUUAUGAACAUAAGGACAGAGAGACAACAAUAGAAUGGAAAUUGUUUUACCAGUUUGAAUGUGAUAUGUAACCCACUGAGAAUGGUGUCCUUAACAUCUAUCUCAGAGAUGUGCAGGAUGAUGAAUGUUAAAUACUUCGUUCAACCAUUGACCACGAACGAGGAAAGAAGAUGUUAAACCAAUUGCUAGGACCAACUGUUUGCCCAACUUCAUCAAUUCAGCAAACGAGGUUCACUCAAGAACAAAGGAACUUAUAAGCUUCGUAACUUCAUAACCUCGAACCCAUGUAACAUCUUUUGUCCCUUUUGCAUUCUCCUUUUAAAAAAUCCCUAAUGAAAGUCAGCAAGAAGGUUUGUGUUCGAUGAAAGACCAAAAGGUCUUAACCCAACUUGCUCGUGCAUCUUGAUCUUCAAUCUAUUCCACUAAAGCAGGUACCAACAAGCAAGGAAAUCAGGCUUUAUCACGAAAGAAACGCGUUCUUGGAGGUUCUUGGAUUUAGUUGAUCCAAGAACACAAUUCGUACAGCGGUAUCACAACACAUAACCAACCAACCAACCAGCUCAAAGAAGAGGAAAGGUGGGUGGAAGAGGGAGGAGCAAUACCUUCCGGUCCAUCGCGGGGAACAUGCGGAGGAGUAUGGAGAGUUUAUCCUCGGAUCCUAGGCCGAAGUCGGAGUUGGAGUGGCGGACAGGUGAUCCGUAGCGAGCGCAGCGAGAUCUCUUGGCCGACGGCGGAGGCGGCAACGGAGACCCGAAGAUUUCCUCCAACCCUAGGCGCUUGCCGCAGAUCCCCGCAGACAUGGCAGCCGCGCCGUAGCCCCUGCGAGAAAGAAGGAUCCUAGGGUUUCGAUCGAAAGUUGCCCCCUCCUCUCCCCGGUUCUCGUGUUCUCCUCUCCCCACGAAAACCCUCGGCCGCUUCGCUGAUUGCUUUCCUCGCGAUCCGACUUCCCAAAUGGCAGUUUCCCCUUUCUCUCUCUGUCGCCGUCCGCUUAUAUCAUUAUUGAAAAGUUAUCUCACCCACUUUCCGGGUAGUCAGAACUCACCUGCGGUGGCAGAGCUGGUCCCAUGUGUGGGUCUCACUGAACCUGCAUCUGCAACGAAUAAUAGGUCAGGUAGUUUACUCGGGUAGGAAACAAGAAACCCGUGAUUUACUCAUGAGUAGACACGUCCUCCGUGUCAUAUUCUGUUAAGCGGUUCCGUUUGUGUAGACGCUUCUCGGUCAUCGAACGCCACGAGGCAGCUGCGGAAAUUUGCAGGGCCCCACCCGAAAUAACACACGUUCUCGAGACAUUUGUAAAUUGAUUUCAAGAUGAUGCUCAUGAAAAGGCGUUGCAUCACAGCAAUAAGUAAACUCCAGUAGACAUGCGUCAAUGUAAGCAUCAUAAUAAUAUCAUGCUUUGAAGAUAUAAAGAAACUUGCUACAAGAUCUAUCGAGACUCAAGCGGGCGAUCAUGAAUAUAAUAAGUAUAUUGUGACAAAUCAGAAAACAACCAGAGUUCAAUACGACAUUAGAGCAUAUCAAUUUGAAGUAUAUAGCAAAAUGGUCUGAAGAUAUUGCAUCUUGUGACAUGAUCUAUCUAUUUUUAUCUUGCCAUACACUAAGUAGAUUGAUUAUACAAAUACAUUAAAGAAAAUAUUGCUUUGAAGAAAGAAAACUACAAAAGAAAAAAAAAAAUGGGAUCCUUUCCCCACCAGUUACUCUGCUCUUCUGAUCGAAUCGAACAACUUAUGUAAACAAACCAAAGUAAAAACAAAAAAAAAAUGGCGAGAUAUAUUGACUUUGAGGAGAUGCUACAAAUAAUCACUGUACUACGCGCUUUCUUUUCGAUCUCUUCCCCUUCUUCGGUGUAGUAUUAUAUUGUGGAAGUUUUUUGCUUUCAUUGGAAGCAUAGGUCUCCUCUGGAACUUCUCCCUGUCAUUGGGUUAAUGCCAGUAAGCAAACCUUAUUCGUCCAAAAUAUAACAAAAAUCAUCUACUAUAGCUCUUUUAACCCAACAAGGUAAAAGGAGGGAGCAAUCCCACAUUUCACCAAGAAGUAAUAUAUAUUCCCUGCUAAGGAUAAAACAUGUGCAUGUAGAAUAAAUACAUCUAAAACAUGUGCACGU
rnacentral:lncRNA from 1 species